UUUUUUUUUUUUUUUUUUUUCCUUUUGAUACAACUUAUACAACAUUGUUGUUGAUCUAUUCAUUUAAUUAUUUUGAUUGGCCUAAACAAUGUCGUCUUAUACCCGUAGAAGAAAAAAAAUGAAAAAUUCAUGUGUAAUACAGUAUGAAUAAAACUUAGACUAAUUUAAUAGUCUCUUCAUAUAAAUUUCAGGUUUGGUUUAAUUUUUGUUUUAUCUUACUAAUUUGUAAAUGCUAUUUUUCAUUUUUAGUUUUGUUUAUCUUACUACUUGGUUUAAGUUUUGCCUUGCCUGAGCAAAAUUUCUGGAUCCGCCUAUUCUUGAUUUAAGUUUUGCCUUGCCUUGCCUUACUACUUGGUUUAAUUGAUGAACGUUGAUCAGUCUAUUUGUUAGCUUACUGUCAUCCUUGUAUAUCGGUAUUGAAUAAGAGUGUGAUAUGAAUUGCUUGGACAGACUACUCUAACCCGUGUGGGAUAUACCCCAGAGAUUAGCCAUGGGGUGUUGGUUGAAUUGGCUGAACACCGGAAGGAAUUAGAGAAGAAGACAAAGCCUGUUCUUGAUACUUUGCGAAGCUACCAAGACUUGCCUCCGGUACUUUUCUACUUUAAUUAUAUGGUCAAAUUUUGGUUUGUUCCUAGAAAGAUUGUGAAUUGUAAGGUAUGAAUAUCUGCAGGAUAAAGCUUUGGCUGCUUUAGCAAUUGAGGACAAGAAAAGACAGUAUGCUGCUGCUGAGGAGUAUCUCGAAAACGUGUUGCAUUCAGCUCUUGCCACUUCAGAGUAGUGCAAGGAAACUUGUUAUAUAAUUGACUCUAUGUUGCUGUAUAUUUGUUGGUAAAGAAAUGGUAAGGGUUCUAUUUUGAUUUUUUCAUUGUAGCACAAGUUGUGACCUCAUGAUGCUCACUGUUGUGGACAAAAGUUUCAUGACUUAUCUCGUUUAUUUUGAGUGUCCAGGGCUUCAAGCUUAUGAUUUUCUUACUGCAAGAAUAAUGCGUCAACUUUUGUGUCAUUCCUUAUCAAAAAAUAAAAAAUAAAAAAUAAAAAUAAAAAUCCUUCCGUGCUAGAAUUCUAGCAUUCGACACCCAGCACCAGCGCAAUUCCGACUUGUCCUUGGGCACCGCACUCUUCACCGGCAACAAUUCUGGCCGCUCAUCCUUCUCCACUUCUGGGUAUCUUAUUUACCUUGGUUCUAAUCUCAUAGCAUAGUCUUCCAAGAAGCAGUCUACCAUUGCUGGCUCAAGUGUUGAAUCUGAGUAUCGUUCUCUAACUCAUGCUUGUGCCGAAUCUACUUGAUCAGGUUCCUUACUCUAUGAGCUUGGUGCCUGCAUUCGCUUUCCUAUUAUGCUUUAUUGUGACAAUCUUAGUGCUAUCUACAUGGCAUCCAAUCCCGUUUUUCAUGCCCGCACUAAGCACAUUAAAUUGGAUUAUCAUUUUGUUCGGGAAAAGGUUGCUCUUGGCAGUCAUCAGGUUGACUUUAUCAGCCAUGCUGCUGAGUGCUGACCUUCUCACCAAACCUCUUCAUAAGCCUCGACAUCUCCUUUUGUGUCGUAAACUUGUGCGUCCUAGAUCGCCCAGUUUGAGAGAGAGAGAGAGAGAGAGAGAGAGAGAGAGAGAGAGAGAGAGAGAGAGAGAGAGAGAGAGAGAGAGGUAGGAGGUAGGUAGGUAGGUAGGUAGGUAGGUAGGUANNNNNNNNNNNNNNNNNNNNGAGAGAGAGAGAGGGGUGGGGUUGGUUUGCGAGUCUUUCUCUACUCCUAUAUUGGUUUGGUAAUCUAGCAUGUAAUCUUUGUAUAGAUUUCUACCUCUUAGCUUAGGUUGGUUACCAAGUAUUAUUGUAUUAUAAAUACUCAUCGUUGUGCUACAUAAUUGAAUCAAUAAAAUAUAAUUUCUAUAGGGUAGAAGGCUAAUAUUAUGAAUAUUAACUAAAUAGGUCUGUGGACUUGUUAAUAAGGCUUAAUUUGGGACAACUGUGAUGUGAGAAUAAUCAAUUUUGAAAUUGUUGUGAGAAGAAUCACUUCUGAUAUUAUUGUGAGAGAAAUCAAUUGAGAUGUUUGGUAAACUGUUUUUAAAAUUGCUGUGAGAACCAAAAAUCAUUUUGAGUUGUAAGCAAAAUGUUUUGAGUGCAUAUAGUAACAAAAAUGGUCAUACAUGUUGAAAAAUGCAAUUAAAGUUAAUAUAUAAUUUGGUUGACAUAUCAAGUACCAAUAACUUUGAAUAACUACUUGCAACAAAAUGAAAAAUAGUAUGUCAAGUAUGGUGAAUGCACUACAAUAAUCUAAAAAGAUAUUUUGAUUAGUUAAAUUAAGAAAACUGAAAUUGUCAAAAAAUAUUUAAUAUGUAUGUUGAAUUUUUAUAUAUUAUUUUUAUGUAUGUUAUCAAUUAUUAAUACAAUUUACAAUAUUUCUUUUAUUUAUUUCAUCAAUUAUCACUCGUUGAAUGCAGGUUAUAAAAUGGAUUACGCCAUUUUAAUUUUCAUGUAUUCCCUCUCACGAAACCUAUAAAUAUUUUUCUGAAUAUCGCAAAUAAAAAGUGAGGUGAGAAUUGCGAGAGCGGAAGAAGAAAAUGGAAGAGAUGAUGAACAAGUUUUUCGAGUCCGUGGGUUCCUUGUUCGGCGGAGGAGAUCAGAUCCCGUGGUGCGAUCGAGACGUCAUCCUCGUGAGUGAUCCCCAAUCCUCCAAUGAAUGAAUGAAUGAAUGUGAGAGAUCUGAUUGCGUUUCAUUUUCAGGGUUGUGAGAGAGAAGUCGCGGAGGCCAACAAAGGCGAGUCGGAGGAGCACAGGAGCGAGAGCAUUAUGAGGUUAUCUUGGGCUCUUGUUCACUCCAGGCAACCUGAAGAUGUCCACCGUGGAAUUGCCAUGCUUGAAGCUUCGUUGGCCAACACUAACUCCCCUUUGCAUCAAAGAGAGAAGCUUUACCUUCUCGCCGUUGGAUACUGCAGAAUUGAUGAUUAUUCUAAGAGCCGUGCUCUUGUCGACCAAUGCUUAGAGGUUUCUUUCUUUUUCCCUUUUCGAUUGCAACUCACUGUCCAUUUCUUAGCAUCUCUAGUUCAAACUGCUUGUUUGAUGGUUGUGCUAGCGUGCCGUGCUGCGAAAUGUUUUUUUCUUUUUUUCUUUCUCUAAGUCCAACUUGUGAUACAAUCUAUAUUUGUGUCUUUAGGCGAUGCAACAGGAUAUGGUUAUGGUUGAUACUUUACCAUCCAAUGGUGUUUGUAAUGCUCUACCUUUGAAUUAAAGUUUAGGAAUAAUAGUCUGUCUUGUUUUCAUUUCUCUCUAUUUCAAAUUGUUCUUCUGGUUCUUUGGUCAUGAAACCAGACUGACCAGAGUUUGAAAAGGAAUUGACCAAUAAUCCCUUGUCUAAUAGCUGUGGUGGAAGCCCUUGAAUCAAAUUCACUGUCUUUUCUUUGACGGGUCCAAAUCUUGUGUGGUGUGGAAUAGCAUGUUCUCUUUUCAGAUUUUAAUCAUAACCUCCAUGCCUAUGUUCUUACUGAAUUUGGAUUGUGUAACCUGGAGGCUAAAAGGGCAGCUUUGCAUCUCUUAUUCAUUCACAUUAAUAUUCCAGAGAUGGAUAUGCAACUUUUUCUUGAAUCAGAGGGUAUUUGUUCUCCCGCUUUCCCUAGACCCUUAGUGGUGCAAAGCAAAUGCGUGUGCAGGCGCCUUCUCUGAACUAUGUUAACCUCUUAGGUGUGAUUGCCUUCUUCUUGGACUUUUCCCCUUCAAAUUCUCUAAAACUGGAAUACUGGAUAUGCGUUGUUGCACAUUCCUGAUACGAGAAUUGCAGCUGAUGGGUCUGCUCAGGGGUUAUAAACUUAUAAUGGUGGCCGGCAAGCUGGAUUUACUCCAAAUUUUGGUUUUUGGCAGAUUCUAUCUGCUGAAGUGCGGAUGCUUUGGUAUAUGUUGAAGCCAUCUUGUGAUAAAGAUUGCAUUCUUGUCUUGUUGAAGUUGAUUCUGCUGUUGUUGCAGAUCUAGUACUUGGAGAGAUAGAUGGGUAUGUGAUGCAAGGACUAUCUGUCUCAUAGAUGGUAUCAAGCUACAACAUAUUCAUGGGCAGAGAAACAUGGCUGCUUGCCGGUUUGUCGGUUAAUUUUGCAGCGGUGUAAACUCUUGCCAGUUGGCAAUUGAUCGAUCUGUGGUUAUCAUGCUCUCCUGCAGCCUCCAUGUUCUGUAUUGAGGCCGAGAUAUCGAAUUGUUUAGUUGUCUUUUGGGGAUUCUAACCACACUUACAAAGAUAUAGUCUUGUGAUGUGAUUUUUACUGUACUUAAACAUCUCAAAAGACAAUAAUCUUUUGGCCACUUCUUUUAUCAUUUUGUGUGUGUGUGAUAAUGCAUAGUUCAUGUCCACUUAUUCCCAAUAAUAGAAAGAGUUGUCUUCAGCCUUUUGUUGGGCAUCUAAAGUUCCUUUGUUUAUUUUGUUAUUGUUUUUGCAGAUUGCACCUGAUUGGAGACAGGCUCUGUCCCUUAAGAAGAUAGUUGAGGAUAAAAUUGCUAAAGGUAAUAGAAUUGUAUGCAGAUGGCUUUAUUUUGUGGCUGCACUGUAGCAUCAGAUUAACCAAAACAUUGUGAACACGUUGUUUGAAUGCAGAUGGAUUUAUCGGAAUAGGGCUCACUGCAAGUGCUGUUGGACUUAUAGCAGGUGGGAUUAUUGCUGCCUUGGUUCGCAGGUGAUAUCCCCCUGGCCAACAAUGUUUUUAAAGACUAGCAUAUUCCUGUCAAAUAAUCAGACCAACAGAAGUUGCAGCUUGCCGCUUCUUGUUUUCUGGAGCAAGAUUCUAUAUCUGUUUAUUUAAAUUAUAUUUUUCGUGCAUGUAGAUGUUUUUUCACCUAUAAAACCCUUAUGUUUUGAUCCAGUCUGCGCAUAUGUAGUCACCUAAAAUCUUGGAAAAAUUGGCUUGUGCUAUAUCUGUUGCUUAAUCUUUUAAGUUGUCCCAUGAUCCAUAUCAACUUGAAUUGCUGCUAGCUUUGAGGCAAGUAGCUCCCUGGUAGUGAGUAUUCGAUAUCUUACAUGCUCACAACGAGGCAAAGCAGUUUGCCAUUUUGUGGACAGACACUGGUUUCCCCUUUUACCAGGGUUCGCAAUGCCUAGUGGACUUUUCGUUGAAUCUCUUUGUCCAUACCGUUAUUAUGCAAAUCAUGAUGCAAAUGAUUAGGCCUGUGAAAUAGGUAGGGUUGGGCCGACCCGGCCUUAAGAUAUGAUGACCCAUAUACUACCCGAUCCUAGGCUUUUUCAGUCAUGCAAGUAAAAUGGGCAGGGCAUGGCUGACCCUAUAAAAAUAUUCGAAACCCAAGCCCGGCCCGUAGAUGGGUAAAGUUUGGGCCAAGAUGGGCCACCCGUGGCCCAAAAAUAAAAAGAAUUAAAUUCAAAGUUACUAAUAGUAGUUACGUGAGUAAAGUUAUUAGAUUUAAUUAAAAAAGUUACUUAUAGAGUCAUCCUUUGUAGUGUAAAUGAAAUUAUAAUACAUUUAACAUUAAUCUAAUAUUCCUUAAAUAAUUCAUUUAUGUAAAAACAUAUAUUUACUCUAUUAAUUAUAUCAUAUAGGCAGUCAUAGGCCGGCCCAGAGCUUCAAAAGUGAUGCCCAUACCCUGUCCGUUUUAAAAUGAGUCGAAGAAACCCCGCACGUUGGCUUAGGCUGGGCCAGCCCAUAGCCGAAAAAAUAGGCUAAGUUUGGGCUUACCGGUCGGCCCUUUACAGGCCUACAAAUGAUUGUGAUUCCAUUUUCUCCAAAAUGAAAUUAAAGAGAGAAGCAUUCCAAACGGUGCAAAACAAGUCCAAAAGAAGCGCAUAAGCUGAAGUAAACCUAUUUGGAAACGCCAGCUUACAACACCAUAAAAAUCAAGAAGCAAAAGACAAAGAGAGAUCAGAAAAGAAUGGAGGCGCUACCCAUCCCGACGGAGACGUACAAGCUCGGGUUCAUCGGAGCUGGUAAAAUGGCGGAGAGCAUCGCCAGAGGAGUGGUCGGAUCAGGCAUUCUCCCCGCAAAUCGCAUCACUACCUCACACUCCAGCCCCUCUCGACGCCAAGCCUUCGAGUCCUUUGGCGUCCACCUCCUCCCUCGCAACGACGACGUUUGCCCUCUUUCUAUUUCUCUCUCUCUCUCNNNNNNNNNNNNNNNNNNNNCUCUCUCUCUCUCUCUCUCUCUCUCUCUCUCUCUCCCUCCUUCUUUUUGCUGCAAUCUCCAAUAAUAUUUAUGUGAUGCAUUUGUCUCUGUCAGGUUGUUGAAGAGAGUGAUGUCGUCAUUUUCUCUGUCAAACCUCAAGUUGGUUCGAUUCAAACCUUUCUCGACUUGUUUUUUCAGUUCUUGCUUUUUUACUAUAACUUUGUGAUAUCAUGCAGUUAAAGAUGUAGUUCUGCAACUGAGGCCGUUGCUUUCCAGAAAGAAGCUGCUUGUUUCAAUUGCAGCUGGAGUCAAGUUGAAAGAUCUUCAGGUUCUCUCACUUUCGCCAUCCUAUUACUCUUAUCUGCAUCUCCAUUCAUUACUAAUGAAUGCUUUUCUUUCAUGUCUUUGUGCAUUGAUUUCAACUUUCACAUGUCUUUGAGCUCUCAGUCUUUCUUACAUAUUUAAGUAUUUAGCUUUCAUGCUUGCUCGUCUUCCUCAGGAUUGGGCUGGUCAUAGUCGAUUUAUCAGGGUAAUGCCCAAUACUCCUUCUGCUGUUGGUGUUGCAGCAUCAGGUAUCUUUUCCAUCAUGUUAUUUUUUCUUCCAAAUUAUUGUGGUUUAUUUUUAAAUCUGAGGCUUAUGCUCACUAAUGUGUAAAAUGAUUAUUAUUCAUAUCAAUAGGUUCUAGCAGAGGAUAUGUGUAGUGAUGCAGUAUACUCACUGCCUAAACACUAGGAUCAACAAACUCUAAAGAAUAGAGCUUAUAACACAUAGAUUUUGUAGGGUUCAAAGAGAAAACUAUGAACUACAAAUCACUCCCACGCUUCUCACCCAAGCUAAACUAGGCUUACACACCAAUUUUCAUUGGUAAGACUUACAGACUAGCAUUAUUGAUAGGUAAGACUGCAUACUUCCCAAACUUGGAGCAUAAGAGACUUGAAAAAGAAAACUUUAAAACGUCUAAACUGAAACAUAUAUAUGGAAACACACCAGAGUUAAGAGACUUCUAGGAUCAGAUCAUUAUUCACUCCCUUAAAUCUGCACUAAAUAUCCGAAGAGCAAUUAGCCUAGCCGUAGGAUAGGGAAUGAUUAGGUGCUCUCUUUUUCCAUUUGUUUGGCUCAUAGACCUUAAAGAUGUUUGACUAUGAUGUCCUCAUAGGGCUGAACAAGUUGUCCUUUGGAGUACCAAACUCUUAUUUGUACAGUUGAUAUGUUCAUUUAUGAGGAUUGGUCCAUCCAAACAGCUUUUCAAUUCUUAUGCCAUGGAGAGCAAUAAAGGUAAUUUUAUGUCUAGUAGGUUCCUAACAUUUAUAAAGCCUAUAUCAUGGAGUACUCCAGCAGUCCAGCUGCCUUCAGAUCUCUGAAUAUGAUAAGUAGCAGAGUUGAAUAUAUGAACCCCACACUAUUACCUUUCUCAUUUUAUGUUCAACAAAAGCUUGCAAUAAGAGAGCUAACCGCCCUAAAACAUGCAGGUAUCACAUGUUACAGUGACGAGAAGACUUGUAAAUUUCAGAUUACCUUACUUUGUUGGAUGACAAGUUUAUAAUAUGUUAUUGAGAAAACUAUCUGUUUAGUUUGUCAUAAAUUUCAUGGUUGGCAUAUGGGUUUUUAAAAUCUUGCCUCAGUCUUUUGAUCUGUAUUGCCUUUUAUAGUUUUUAAUUUAGUGUUGAGCGUUUGUAUGAGUUGAAUGAAUAUGGUGAAGUUCUUGAUCCUAUGUUCAAACAGUUUUGAGCUUGGGAGGAGCUGCAACAGAACAAGAUGGAGACUUAAUAGCUGAAUUAUUUGGAUCAGUAGGCAAGAUUUGGAAAGCUGAUGAAAAGUUGUUUGAUGCAAUUACUGGCCUGAGGUAUGUAACAUAAUAUUGAAUAUGUUAAGUCAUUUAACAAACUCAUAUUGCAACUACACACAAGUUCAAAAAUAAGUGGAAUGAUAAUUCUGUGUUCCUCUCCCCCUGCUCUUUCACAGAAUGCAAUGUUUCUCAUUUAAGUUUUUUAAUUUUUGAAUUAUGUUUUGAUUAAUGUCUUGGAAAUUACAGUGGCAGUGGUCCUGCAUAUAUAUAUUUGGCUAUAGAGGCUUUGGCAGAUGGAGGAGUUGCUGCAGGUCUGCCACGAGAACUUGCAUUGGGUCUAGCAUCUCAAACUGUAAGUCAGAUGCAUACUAAAGCAGUUGUGUGAUAUUACACCAUCAUAUCUGUGUGUGUGACAUGUGCCUGAUAUAUUUCUCAAAAUCUUGACAAUGCAGUUGCUCAAUACCGAUAUAUUGCAUGUAAUAUAUCCAAGUUAAUAAUCACUAUACUAAGAAGUUAAACCCUAUUACCUGCACAUGGGAAGUAAAUAAAGGAACACAAUUGUUUUCUAAAUGUCAACUCUAUGAAUAUUCAGUUGUUCUGAAAUCUGAAAGAUAUUAUAUGAAAAUUUAUUUUCUUAUAGUAAAUUUUGAUAGUAAUAUUGUCCUCUUAAAUUUCAUCCCAAUUUUCAUUGAGCAAAUGUUAUUGUUUAGUUGUGUUAAAUACAGUAAAACCUCGAUAAAUGAAUGUUCGAUAAAUUAAUAACCUCGAUUACAUAAUAAAUUUUUCCGGUCCCAACUCGGGACCAGUUCAUAUUACUAGGAACCUCGUUAAAUGCAUAAUAUAAUAAUUUUUAUAGACUCCCUUUAGGUCCCAGCGAAUAUAUAAAGUAAUAAUUGAUUAAAACAAUAUUUUAAAAAUAUUUAAAAUUAUUAAUAAUUGAUUAAAUACAUAAAAGAAAGAUAAAAUAAUGUUAUUAAGGAACCUCUUAACAAUUUUUAAUUUCUCAUUUUUGUUAUUCCCAUACUAUCCAUAUAUAGUCAUUUGCUUUUUUCUAUAUUAUGAAAAAUUAAGAAAACUCUUAACAAAUUAAGGAAACUUCUAACAACAAAACCCUCUAUAAAGUAAUAAAUAUUCAUUUAUUGAUAAAUGAAUAAAUUAUUCAUUUAUCGAUAAUAUAAUAACCUCUCUAAAGUAAUAAUUUUUCGUAGUCCCAACAUUAUUCAUUUAUAGAGGUUUUACUGUAUAUAUUAUGUAUAUGUACUUGGGAGCAGCAUUAUAUGGUUUAUUUUCCUUUAGGUAUUGGGAGCUGCAUCUAUGGCUACUAGUUCUGGGAAGCAUCCAGGUCAGCUAAAAGACGAUGUAACGUCACCUGGUGGAACUACCAUUGUUGGCAUUCAUGAGCUGGAAAAGGGUGGAUUUCGUGGAAUAUUGAUGAAUGCAGUCGUCGCCGCUGCCAAGCGCAGCCGAGAACUUUCACAGAACUAGUCAUAUGGAUAUUCUUACCAUGAAGCUUGAUAAGCAAUGAAUUCUCUUUUUUUGGUCCUCUUAGUUAGAAAUAUGUUUUGUCCGUUUUUGGGCCCUCACCAAAAGUUGGUUCAGAGAAAAUCUUAGAUUCUUGUAAUUUGUUCUUUUUGACAGUCGAUUGAGGUAAUAGAUUGAAUGUUGAAGCACCUUCAAGGAUGGAUUGUAGGUAUUUAUGAUGCUUGUUGUGGCAACAUUUAUCCAUUCAAAAUAAAAUAUUCGUCUCGUUUAUGUUUUUUUGGUUGUUGUUCUGAAUCUUGUUUAUGUUCAUUUACCAUAGUUUUCAGAUUUCAAGCCUAACAGAGUAUCUCCAUUGUCUGUUUGCUCUAGGAUCUCGAACUUUUUAUGAAAAAUCCUAAACUCGGAAAUACUUUGCCCCCAGGUGGAUUCUGGUGAUGGGAUGGGAAGUUGAUCCUCAAGCUACAGUUCAAAAUGGACAACGUGGAGAUAAAUGUUUGAUUAUACUAUAACUCUAGGGAGUACUUUAUGAUGACUACCGUCAUUUGUAGACUGACAUCCUUUUUACUAUGCAUUACAUUUGCCCUCAAAAGCUUGGUUUCAUGUAAAACGUACAGUGAUCAGCUACAAUAUUCGCCGAUCUAAUAAAAGUGAUCAAAGUUCUCCAGGAUAUUGUAUGUGAAUAGUCUCACUAAACAAUUUUUCUUAGAAGAAAUCAAAGAUCAGGCCAGAAGAGCUGAAUUUUUGCCGCUUACAUGAAUUUGUCUGGAAUAACAUGGCGACAAAUGAGCAAUGGAACAAAAUAUAGUUACAACAUCCAAGGGAAGGAUAAGGUAUGUUAAUGCAUGACAUGCAUCAAUUUUUUAUUUAAAGUUGAAAAAUGAGCCAUCAAAGUAGUAAAAUUGGUCCUUAAAGUUGUAAUAUGCGUCUUUAAAGUUGUGAAUUUUAAUUACAACAUUAGUAAGUGGUAAAAUGUGUCCUUAUAGUAGUAAUUUAGUCCUCUAAGUUAUAUCAAUUUUUUUUUAUCAAUUUAAAGACUCAUAAUACCAUUUUAAAGAUUAAUAUUACUACUUUAAGGACUUAUGUGGUAACUAAGAAUAUUUACAACUUUAAGGACUCAUUUACAACUUUAAAGACUAUAUUAUCACUUUGAAGACAAUAUUAUUACUUUGAGGACUUAUUUUACAACUUUAGGACAAAGUUGAUGCAUGUCAUGCAUUAACAUAUCCAAUGGUAAUUUUCAGUUAAUAGUUUCUGUUGACUGUCUAAGAACAUACCACAUUUGAAGUUUGUCUUCAACUGCAGCAACAUCAAGAAGAAUCAGCAGUAUUAGUUUCUGAAACUGUUUUGGUAUUUGGAAGAACAAAGCUAACUUACAUUUCAUAAUGGGCUUCAAGAUGACCAAAUGCCAGUUGAUCAAGGCAUUCAGAUCGAACCCAGUUGCCAAAAUCUUCGCCAGAAUUCAGUGAAAAUGAAAGAGGAAAAAUCCCAUCAAACCAGAACUUAAAACUAUCAUAUCUUGAACCAAGAGUAUCAUAUCUCACACUAUAAGAAUUUGUGGGUUUUGAACUUUGAAGUUAAUGGAAUCAUCAGGUAGAGUGACUAGUGGGGUUGUUACCAAAGAUUCUGGCUGCUGCUGGAUAUGGGGAUAAAGUUAAAGGAGCUCAUUCUCCAGCUCUUUUAUCAUAAUCCGUGACUUGAGAUGCACUCAAAGUCGUACACAUAAAUAGUCUAAUAAAGAAGACUGUCUAUAUAUGAUACCAAGCUUCAUAUCCUAAGCAAUCAGCACAUUCCAACCCUAUAUACAUAGUUCCUUACUAUAUAAUAUCUAUACGGUUAAGAACAUACAACACUAGAACGAGUACUCAAAAAAGCCAGAAUUGUCUUAUUUAGACAGGCACUUUGAAAAUGGCAAGAAACGAAGAAAUGUCUUCUAUGAAUGAAGCUCUGAAACAUGGUAUCAAAAUCCAUGAAGAGUCAUCUAAGGAGGAGUUAUUCAAAAACAUAAAGGAAGCAAAAUCGAGGCUAGAGCAGUUUCAAAGCUCGAAACCAAAGCUCCAAAAGGUUCCUGACAUGCUACGAGAUCACACAAGUUUUGAGAAAUACUAUGAGCCAAGGGCAGUAGCAAUUGGUCCAUUCCAUCAUGCUAAAGAAAGGUGUCAGCUGGCAGAGAAGUUCAAGCUUGCACUGACAGCAAAAUUUGUCGAAGACAGUGACUGCACAGCUGAAGACUUGCACAAGAUCAUUGAGGACAACAUCAACACACUAAGGGACUGCUAUGAUGAGGAAGCAACAAGGUCUUACACCGACAAGGCCCUCACUCAGUUGUUAUUCCUAGAUGGGUGUUCAACUUUACAGUUCAUAUACUCGUUUAUAUAUAAUGAGUUGCCAUAUUUCAAGAUCAAGAGGGAUCAGGUGGCUUUUGCACAACAGGAUUUGUUCUUGCUUGAAAACCAGCUCCCUUACCAAGUUCUCAAGCUGUUGAUGAACAAAAGUCACAAAAAGGAGGAGUUGAAUAACGCAAUCCAUGAUUUUGUUCGAAACAACAUCAUGGCAGCAACCAAAAAAACGCACAAACACAAAAGAGUGAGUCAACCAGAAGAUCGCAUAAACAUAAACGAGGUUGAAGAGCCAACUCAUCUUCUCGAGCUUCUCCGGACAGAAAUGCUUGGUCCAAAAGAUGAGGGCAACAAAAUUUGUACAAAUCAACGACAAUCCUUCCGCAACAUACAGGAGCUGAAAGCAGCAGGGAUCCAGUUAAAGCCUAGUAAGACAAGCACAUUGAAGGACAUAUCUUUCAAAUCUCUAGGCUUUGUAGGAUUCCUACAUCUUCCACCAAUAUCAGUAGACGACUCCAUGGGGCCUAAGUUCUUGAACUUGAUAGCCUAUGAAAUGUGUCCUGAUUUCGAAAAUGAUUUUGAGGUCACCUCUUACAUAUGCCUCUUGGAUUCACUGAUUGAUCAUGCAGAUGAUGUUAAAGAGCUACGGUCGGCAGACGUACUAUACAACCUACUUGGGAGUGAUGAAGAGGUGGCUCGACUUUUCAAUGAGAUAGGUACAGACUUGGUGCCUAACAGUGCAACAUACUGCAAUGUCAAAAACGAAAUAGAAAAGCACUACAAGAGCAAGGGGAAAACCUGGAUGGCUCAAUUCUGUCACGAGCAUUUUAGUAGCCCCUGGACUAUCCUAGCUUUCCUUGGUGUUCUAGCAGCUCUGGGGUUAAGCAGCAUUCAGACUUGGUACACCAUCACUUCUCCGCCGUCCGCCUGCGAUGCUGUAUGCGAGUGCUUGAAGAAACAGCUGAAAAUAGAGUGACACACACAUUACGAAAAUCAAGAAUGGUUUUUCCUAAAAUGGUUUAUGCUUUUGGUUUGUUUGGUUCCCAGCUUCAGCUCUCAUUAUGUAGAUGUGAAGCUGAACAUGUACUGUUAUUUCUUUACUGAAGUGUUGGCCACAAUGUAAUUCUUAAUUAAUGUUUGCAACUGAUAAUGAAUGAUGAGAUGAGUUUCUCGACUUUAAUCGACACUUCCGACAAAAUCGAGUCAGAUGUUCUUCAUUCAGACCUGAUCUCAGCUUAAUUACAUCGAGUUUGUUGUUCAAUUAAGAAAACCAAAUAAUCUUGGGCAUACCAGCCUCAAUCUGCUCAAUUUUUAGAAAAAAUGCAGCAGAAACAAUAUCAGAUGAUCCAUUUUGCUUUUAAGGCCAAUGAAGCUCUCUCGAAUGUAGAGUCUGAAAUGAAUUAUUAGGACUCUCAAAUUUUCCAGACCUUUUUUCCUUAUGGUUUCCAAGCUUGAAGUCAACAUAUAUCAGCCACACAUGAGAUAAUGUAUCAAAAGAAGUUAUCUAAAUUUCAACAUUCAUAACUUAUCUCAUGAACCUCUCAGUUUUGAACAACUUAACUUCAAUGUCAACUCUCGUCUGUGGUCUUUAGAAUCAGUCAACUUCACGUAAUCAAUAUUUGACCUUUACUUCACACAUGAGUCAUGUCUCCCGCCAUGCAACAGUAAUUUUUUAUUUUCAAUUUACCUUUUUUUUCCUUAGAGAUCAUCAUGGAUUACUAAUAGUGGAUUGCUAAGAGUACAACACAACUAUCCCCUUUGGUGAUGGCACAACAUAAACAUUUGGUCAUGUAUUUGAACACUAGAAACUAAAACUAUUUGCAAACCAAAAGAGUUUCUGUAAGCCAACCUUUCCACAUAUAUAAUUAUAUAAUGACAUUACAAUCCUUUCUUCUUCUGAAAAGUAGCUGAUUCAUAAUGAUUUUCCACAGUAUUAGCAAUCGUAUGUAUUUUGAAGGCUUACCAACAUGAUUUGCAUUAUACAAAUAGUAUCACUCAUCCUAAUCUCUAUCCUGUAUCAAGUUGUUGAUCAUCUUUACCAAAGGAAUAGUACCCUUUCCCAUUAUUUCUAGCCUACUAGCAUUUGAAGCAUGAGAAAACAGUGAAAGGCCGAAGAAAAGAAGAUCAGGAAGAAACAGUCGAGAUGAUAAGAAUCCAUGCCAAUAACGAGGUUCUAGAUCAAAAAAUGCAUUGAAAAACCUUCUUGUGGCAUUCAAAUCCAGCUUGAGCAGAAUGGACAUGCCAAAACAGAAGAACUCCCUUUGUCUCCUCCUUUGUAUGGGCCAUAGAUCUUUCCACACUUCUGCUGACAGUUCAUUUCCUGAAAUACUUCUACCAGAACCAAGGUACUGAACUAUUGCAUUUGCAACAAUAGGAGCUGCUGCCAGAGUCCUCGCGACCAUAUACCCUGUUGAAGGGUGCACCAUCCCAGCUGUACCUCCAAUUCCAACAACUCUUUGAGGGAGCACCGGUAGAGGCCCGCCCAUCGGAAUGACACAAUGCUCAUCCUCUUCGAUGCUCUUAACUUUUAUGCCUAGGUGUUUCAAUCUAGCAACCAUCCUUUCCUGGAUAUCUUUCAUGGGUAGUCCUGGCCGAGCAACUAGGGACGUUUCUUCAAGAAAUAUCCUAUUGGAUGAAAAAGGCAUUGCAUAUAGAAAAGUAGGGAUCUUACUAUUUCUCUCUUUCAGUUGAGGACUAUUCCUCAAAUGUGAAUCUCUCCAAUCCAUGAAAACCAUCUUAUCCACAUCAAAAGGAUGUUCUUCAACUUCUGCCAAAAUCCCAUACGCCACUUGGUAACCUGGAUUGUAAGGCUUAUCAUACUGCACAAGGCAUCUUGAAAAGCCUGUUGCAUCAAGAACCACAGUAGCUUGAAUUGUGACGCCAUCACUGCAAACCAAGAGUGAUUUGUCCUCCUCGUGAAUAACGUUAUUGACUUUAGCUUGAUGAAACUUGACACCAUUUGAAAUGCAUUUCUGCAGCAUUUUGGACUUGAGCUGCUUCCUAUUAACCCUCCCAUAAGGCCUAUCAAGAUCCUUCUUCGAAUGUUCAUCUAUGAACACAACAGCACCAGACCAGGUAGUGUCGAGGCAAUCAAGCAAAUCCAUGGCCUCAAACUCAUCCACCCAAACACCGUAAUUGUUGGGCCAGAUUAACUUGGGAGAGGGAUCAAUCGAGCAAACAGAUAACCCUGCCUCGGAGACUUGCUGUGCCACGGCAAGCCCUGCAGGGCCGCCUCCCACGACUGCAAGGUCCACCACAAGACCCUUUGAUGGGUCAUACAAGGGAAGCUCAAAUUCGAGAUUCUCCUUCUUGGUUUCAGGCACCAGCUCCAGAAGAGCACUACUUCUGGCCUUAACACGGCCAGUUCUACAGGACUUCCUGAGACCACAUCUAAGCUCCUGCUUUGAAGAGUUCCAAUUACUCACUUUCUCUGAAAGCCCAUGAAGUGGGUGCAGAAACUCGAGCUUGUUAUGUGUUUUCAGUAAUGUAUCCAUUAAAUGACAAUUUCCCUCGAUAUUUCAAGCUGGGUUCAGAAUUGUUCAACUGAGAAAUCAAAUUUCAGGGAUGGGUUGUCUGUGAACACACAGAACAUCAAGUGGGUCUCCUUGGAAAACUUGAAUUUCACAUAAAAGAGGAAGCAACUAGAACACAGGGAUACUAAUUCCGGAAGAGACUUGAAAAGUUUGGGGAAGUUACAAGGAAUCAAAUAUGAAACUCUAGUUAGAAGAGAGUAGAUAGAAGAAGGAUUGCAUACCAAGGAUGGGAGAGAGGUGAGAAAGAGAGCAUCUCCAACAACAGAUUGGUGAAGCUUGUGUGGCCUGCAUCCUCCGCUACAAACUCACUCAUGUGGUUUUGCCCUCUUGUGCACAUCCUCUCUAUGACAUCCAGUGUCCCCGACCCGUGUUUCCCUCGUCACACGUACGACGGUACGAGUAAUAACGGAAUUAUCCGAUAUUGUAAAUAUAGUUUUCUCUUUUUUUUAUUGGAAUUAAUUUUUUUUUAAAUAAGACGUAAAAGUUAUUUUAUAAAAAAUGUAAGAGUACAACAUGAACAUAAUCUAGUCUCACGGGCCUCGUAAAUCAUGCAAAACAACCUAAAAACUAAGUUAUAUAUCUAAAUAUUGCAAACCCUGAAAUAGACACUAUGAUCAAUAAAUCGUAACUGUCAAAAUCCUCCGAUUUAUUUAGAGUUCAAGAACUAAAUCAUUAUAAAGGAUUAACCCUAGAGAAAGAACAAGAAGAGACCAGAGUUAUCUCCUCAAUCACAUUGCAUUGUCACCAAAACCUCACCAGAACCAGAAUCCAGCUGCAGAACUAGAAUCCAGCUGCAAGACUAGAACCAUACCCCCACCCCGAGCAAUCAGUCAAUGCCAACCUGGUACGAGUCCCAAGGCUUCUUUCCUUCCCUUUCUUGGGACCCAAGCUAUUAGCUCCCACUUUUCAUGGCUUUAAUUGCCUCUACCUUUUGCUUAUUCUUGGACCCAACCAGACGUCCCACCUUCCUCUUCUUUGCUGGAGAAAUUAUGAGACCUUGAACUCAGGGCCAAAAGAGAGCUCAAAAUGUUACGCGUCCUCCAUCGGACAUUCACUCAUGCGACUCUUACCAAAACCCCUAGCCUUCAUAUUGGCUUUGCGCUUGAAGCUUGUGAUAUCGACUGCCAUGCUCACUCCCUUGCUCACCAAUUCCUGCAUCGCGACUAGCAGCAACCUCCAUUGAAGGAAGGAAGUUUCAAUCAGUUCAAUUGGGUAACCAGGUCAACCGCCAAAACCCCUGACAAAGUAAAAUUAAAAGUCGUCGAAGCAGUCCGAAAUGGAUUCAUCAUCACGGCCACACCUUGACUGCAUGUCCCUCCAGACGAAGAUUUGACCAUAGAUCCGAUAUCUAAUCUCGGCCCAACAACUACCCUACUUGCCAACUUAAGAUUGGGGUUAGGGUUUGAUGAAGCCAUGCAAACCUUAGCCUAGCUCCCUGCUAGCACAUCGGGAGCACACGUCGAUGUAGCACCCAAAACCACGAUCUUAGACAUAUCUGGAGGACAACUACUGUAGCCUGUAGAACCGUGUUCCAACAUCCCACAAAUCUUGCAAAAACCAGAAACUCUCUCAUACUUGAAUUGCAGAUUUGAUGUAGCCCUAAGAUUUAAUUUUGGAGAUUUUGGAAGGAAAUGAGUUCUAGAAAAAGUCAGAAGGUUAUCUAAACUCUAAACUCUAAAAUCUCUAAACCCUAAACUCUAAACACUAAACCCUCGACAAAAAUAACCUUCUGACUUAUCCUAGAACCCAUUUCCCUCUAAAAUUAAAUCUUAUGAACCCAUUUUCCCUCUUAGUUUGAACAUGAAAAACCUAGGAUUUCAUUGUGAGUAUCAUAUUGAUCAUUUCAGAAGAGUUUGUAGAUUGUUGAUGUGGUUAUACAUGUGGACAAUAAAUAUUUUUGAUGGGUCUCAUGCAAGACACGUUAACAAACAGACGGCGUGGUGAUGGAAAAUGACUUUUGACUUUUUGUGGAUAGCGAAAAUAAAGUUUAGAUAUCAAUUAAUAGUUGGGUUCCACUUGUGUGCCUUAAGGUAUGGAUACCCAACAAGUUUUGACUUGCUAUAGCAGGUUAAAGCAAACUAACACCGUUAACUCUCCGUUAAGUCUCUCUAUAUCUACAGUUUUCAUUAGAAAUAUCUACCAUUCAGAUGAGCAAAAUCACACAAAAGUAGACUUUCUAGAAAUCAAAAUGAUUCUUGAGACUGUCUACGACUAUCAUAAGAAACAUCUACUACUGUCAUGAAAAAUAUCACAGAAAAUGUUGCAAGUCGAAAGACACAUUUAACAUAAGACACAUCUACUGUUUUCAUUAGAAAAGUAGACUUUCUACAAAUCAAAAUUGUUCAUGAGAUUAAAUCAACCCAAGGUAAAAUUUGCAACUCUACAUUUAACAUAAGAUACAUCUACUGUUUUUAUUAAAAAUCUCUACCAUUAACAUAAACGAAAUCAAAGAAAAGUAGACUUUCUAGAAAUCAAAAUUGUGAGAAUGAGAUUGAACCAACUGAAAGUAAAAUUUUCAAGUCUUCAUUUAACAUAAGACACAUCUACUAUUUUCAUUAGAACCGUAUACCAUUAACAUAAGAGAAAUAAAAGAAAAGUAGACUUUCUGGAAAUCAAAAUUGUUCUUUAAAUUGAAGCAACCCAAGGUAAAAGAUGCAAAGUCUACAUUUAACAUGAGACACAACUAUAAUUUUCAUGCGAAAUGUCUACCAUUAACAUAAGAGAAAUCAAAGAAAAGUAGACUUUCUGGAAAUCUAAAUUGUUCUUGAGAUUGAAGCAAACCAAGGUAAAAGAUGAAGAGUCUACAUUUAACAUAAGAUACAACUACUUUUUCAUAAGACAUGGCUAUUAUUAACAUAAGAGAAAUCAAAGAAAAGUAGACUUUCUGGAAAUCUAAAUUGUUCUUGAGAUUAAACCAAACCAAGGUAAAAGAUGCAAAGUCUACAUUUAACAUAAGACACAACUACUUUUUUCAUAAGAAAUGUCUACCAUUAACAUAAGAGAAAUCAAAGAAAAGUAGACUUUCUGGAAAUCAAAAUUGUUCUUGAGAUUGAUACAAUAAUGGAAGGUGAAAGUUGUAAAGUCUACAUUUAACAUAAGACACCUCUACUAUUUUCAUUAGAAAUGUCUACCAUUAACAUAAGAGAAAUCAAAGAAAAGUAGACUUUCUGGAAAUCUGAAUUGUUUUUGAGAUUGAACCAACCCAAGGUAAAAGAUGCAAAGUCUACAUUUAACAUGAGAGUUCAAAUCGGAGAGAGAAAGGAGAAGGAACAGAAAGAGAGAGAGAGAGGGUAAGAGAAAGAGUCCGAGUUCAAAUCGAAGAGAACAAGGAGAGGUGAGUGGAUGUAGUCACUCCGUCAGUUUAGAUGCUUUAAAUCUUCAAACGGUCAUAUGACCGGCUAAAGGGGUAGCAGGUCAUCCUUUUAAGCAAUGAACCAAUCACAAACACCCAUGUGGUUAAGGUAUCCAUACCUUAAGACACACAAGUAUUUGCCUUAAUAGUUUUGUACGUGUGAAUAUCACUGUGACUGUGCUAUAAAAAUUUGGAUGAGCCACAGCUUCUUUUGAUCAAAACAUACAUUUUGGUUGACUGACACGGUGAGACCAGACAUUUUAGCAAGUCAUAGUAUGACAUAUCCCCGCGUGUCCAAUCUCACGUAGUAGCAAGUGUAGCAGAAAUGAAACACCUCCUAUCUAGUCCCCAAAGCACCAAAGCGAGUGAGGGAAAGCAGAGAGCGAUGGGGAGCUCACCAAACGACUUCUCGGUGGUGGUUUUGCCAUCCGACUACGGAAUCGAUUCGAGGCCGUUCCUGACGAACCAACAGCAACAGAGAGUUGUUGCCGAGGAAGAUAACGACCAAGAGAACUGGCACGACUGUCCUCAGAUCCUCUCCUCCGACGAGGACUUCUCCGAUCUCGAGCUCUUGCAGUUCUUCCGUCCCCAAGGCCGUGACAAAUCUGGAAACCUCAUUUUCCGUAUCGUCGGCAAAUACUUUCCCGGUAACAUCUGAGAUGCAUAUCUAAUUACUUAUUUGUUGAUUUUGUUCAUUCAAAUGUUUGAUUCAAGACUAUCGAUUUUGAUUAGGUAGAGUAUCUAUAUGUGCCAUUUACACAAGAUAAUCCCUCAAAAAAAAUUCUAUAGCGUGGUUUAGUGUAUUGAAAACGGGAAUCUACAAGUUGUUGAUCACGGUUCUGUUAGGUUCUAGCCUAUUUAGCCUCGACGUCGCUUACAUUAUGGUUUUGACUCUAUCAGGAAUUGACAUGAUUUCCUUAAGGCUAGGAUCUCUUUUGGGAUGUUUGCAAACAGUGCGUUUUUUAGCUGAGAGAUGGCAGUGAAUCCUAUUUGAGAAUGAUGCGAGAAUAAGCUUUAAGAGACUCUGCUACCCUGGUGUUAGAUCUAGCUGUUGAGAAGAGGAUGGGUGGGAGACAUAAUGUCUUGUUAGUGGAGUUACUUGAGUCCAAGAUUGUGGAUAUUUCAACAUUUGAUCUUUACAUGUGAAUGUAGUGGUGUUGUGAAUAAUGAGGUCAAGUUUAUGUCUUAAUGCAAUCACAACUUGAGUUCAAUUUACAGCGAUCUAUACUGGCUUAGAACUAGAAGACUCUAUAGGACCUUAUGAUUCUUAAAAAAAAAAAUUCAUAUUAAUGCUAUUGUUGGUCGUUAAUUGUGGAUUGUGGUUAAAUGACAAUGUCUCCGAGUACAUUAUACAUGUUCAUUUGUGUAUGGAUAAUGUGUAUUGAAUUUUAGGUGGUGUCUUGCUCCCAUUUAGUUUGGCUCAGAACAUUUAGAAUUUCAUAUUAGUUUGAACUUGGAUGAGACCAUCAUUUAGGAUCCAUUUGAUAACUUGUCUGUCUUGUGAGUUUGCUUUUGGUUUAGGGAGAUGGAGAAGAGAAGAGAUUUGAGGGAGAGAAUGGAGUGAUACAUAGAAUCGGUGAAAAUACAAACUUUAUGGUACUUAAAUGGUCUUUAGUUUUUUUUUUUUUGGCUAAUGUCUUAAACAUCUGUCUUGUUUCUCUUCAGUUAUCUUUUUAUCAUAUCUCCUUGACUAAAGAGCAUAAAAUAAAAGAUAAAGAUGUAAUCAAUUAGACACUUAAAUUUUCUUUUCUCCUAAAUUUAGCUGUAGAAACCCGACAUGUCAAUUGUUUUGAUCUGUUGAUGCUCUUUCUGCAGCUCCAGUUGUGAGUGGGGAUAGGCUAAAGAGGUACAUUUGCAAUAAACUAUGCAGUGACUCUCCAGAAGGGCCGUACUGCAUUGUUUACAUGCAUAGUACAGUGCAAAAGGAGGAUAACUCCCCUGGAAUAACUAUCUUGAGGUGGAUUUAUGAAGAACUUCCAUCUCAUUUGAAGGAUAGGCUUCAAGUUGUGUACUUCAUUCAUCCUGGACUUCGCUCAAGGCUUGUCUUUGCCACUCUUGGCCGAUUUUUCUUAAGUGGAGGGUGGGUGAUUUCACAUAUUUUAGAAACCAAGUAUCUAAUAUUUUAGUAACAGCAAAUAGUAGUGGUAAUAAUUCUAAGAAUCUGUGGUUUAAAUUAUUUUUACAAUAGUAACAUUCCUCCCUACUUUUCUUUCAUUAUACCUCAAGGUCUGAAAUAACAUUAAUUCUACCAUGUAGUGCACAUCAUGUCUCAGUAUCACACAAAAUGACUAUUUCAAAUCUUUGAUAUUUUCUAAGUAUUCUGUUUCUUUGCAGCCUAUAUUGGAAAAUCAAGUAUGUAAGCCGCUUGCAGUACCUUUGGGAUGAUAUAAAGAAGGGAGAGAUUGAGAUUCCUGAUUUUGUGAAAAGUCAUGAUGAUGUUCUUGAGCAUAGACCAUUGACAGAUUACGGGAUCGAACCAGACCCUCUUCACAUGAUUGAGGUGCCAGCAACUGCCUAUUCAUUUGGAAGGUAUGAGGAGAGAUGGGCUUCAAGAGAAUAUACGUCUUAGGUGCUCUAUAAAUGGCAUAUUCCCAGUGAACUGAGAUUGAAUCUCUCAUGCGGGUUGAGAUGUAGCUACCAAAUGUGUAUGCCUGCUCUGUACAUAGUUAUAUUAAAGUUACCAUCUAUAUCCAAACCGUGAUUGGUAGUAGGUGUAUGCACUCUAUUUGUCCAACUUUGGCUUAGAGACAGUUGCAUGUAUUGAGUUAUAAUGUGGUUUCUUGGUUCACAUGGAUGGUGGCUGUACCAUGUAUUUUGUGACUUGGUUUUGUUCAGUGCGAUCACAAAUUUCAUGAACAUGUUAAAACCUGCCCUCACUUGUUCCAGCAUUUUUCAACAUCAGCUAAGGGAGAGUAUUGUUAUUUUUCGAGAAGAAAGGGAGAGUAUUGUUCGAGUAGACAUGACCGCACAAUGCUCGCUUCUGCCUUCUGCCUUUUUCUGUUUGGGUACAUAAACAGCCUUGGUGAAUCAAAAGCUGUAAGGGAGAAUCCUGUACCAUUAAAACAACAGGACCUUUUCAUGAACUAAAAGAUCACAUUUUUUGCCAGAUAGUCGUGUAAUUUAACAUUUUCUUUGGUGCAUCUGUCUUACAACGAACUCACUCGAUGUUUUUUUUGUCCUUUUUUUUUUUUUUUUUUUUUUGAAGAAGAGAGGGGCAGUAGCCCCAUUUUAUUAAGAUGACUGAAGAUUACAAUCAUAGCUUGGAGUAUCUCUAAGCAAUAAAGAGAUCGAAUCAAGCCACUCAAGCUGUUCAGAUCCUUCAAAAGCUAAACUUGCAAGCCUAUGAGCUACAAUAUUUGUAGUUCUAGGAGCAAUGGUAAGGUAACUUGAACAUUCUGCAGGCUGUUAAGACUGAUGACUGUCUGCCCAGAUGUUUCCAUACUCUCGAGCUGUAGAUAAUCUGGUGCAUGUAUAUCUACAAUUGCAAGCUGACAAUCAGUUUGUACUUCACACUGAUGAUAGCCUAAUUUCAGAAGCCACUGCAAUGCUGUUCUUAUUGCCUCAAGUUCAACUUGUUUAGGAGAGUUCACAUAGGAAAUGUGAUGUGCAAAACAAGCAAUAGCAGACCCUUGGGAGUCUCUGAGAAUGUCCCCUUCAGUUCCAUUAUGCAAGAAAGCUCCAUCUACAUUUAAUUUGAAGUUACCAGAAGUUGGUGGACUCCAUCUAGGUCUGCUCAUAGUUUUCUGUUUUUGGACAGAAGUGCUAUUAGCAGUGAUAAAUUCAUGGUACCACAAAGAAUAUCAGCAGCUAAUUGAGGCUUUUGCGACCAAAAUGUGGUGUUCAUGUUUCUCCAUAAUCCCCAAAUGACUCACUUGAUGUUAUAAUCAACACAACACGAUGAAAAUGUUAUAUAACAAGGAAGAAAAUGAGGGUGUGGUUAUUGCCACCCUACCAUAUUCUUUGAUCAACUACUUAUCUAUCCGUAGAUGAUAACGGUAGAGUAUGUAAUAGCUAUUUCAUGUGUUCGUUUUAUCCUAAUUAUAUGAAAGUCGUGACUGACAAUUUAAAAAAAAAAAAGUAUAAUAAUUAUUGAAAGACGAGUACUCUAUCUAGUGCAUAAUGUAUUUUUUUUUCUUUUUUCUUUUUUUAACACCUAGGAUCACCCUACGUGAGAGAGAUCCCCAAGAUCAAAACUAACAAAAAACGGGUCGGGUUUGGUAUAGAUCAAAUACAUACCGAAUUUAUUGAACCGUCUAGAUUCAUAACUCUUAUAAAUAGGAUGCACUGCUUGCUCAGCCCCAUAAUUCCUAUAAAUAAGAUGCUUGUUAUAUGGUCCACAGGCUAAAUCUCUUUCUGUAUGUAUGUUUUGAAUGACGAAUCUUCUUUUCAUUUUCAAUUGUUAAUGUGUUUUUUACCACAUUCAUAUGCUAUGUUUUAUUUUUUUUUGUAUGCCCAAGCAUGCUCCAUGCGAGUGAUGCGAGCAUGCCUCAUUGCCUCGACUUUUAUUUUGUUUGAUAAAAGAAAAGAGUGUGAGUUGACCGAUAAACCCUGGGUCCUCAAUAAUUCAGCGACAAACCCGACUUGCCAAAGCCAACGAACGAUCCGCACAGAAAAAUGCAGAGAGCUCUCACUCUCAAGCGCACGCUCCAAUCCCUCCCCAGAAUCACUAAAAACCCAUUAAUCCCAGGGCGUGCAUUCUGCAAUGCUUCAACACCGUCGCCGUCGCCGGCAUCAGCAUCUGAGCUGCGCAAGUACAUGGGGUACACCGCCCUGGUGUUAUUCUGCGGUGCCGCCACCUACUACUCUUUCCCAUUUCCCGAGGACGCCAAGCACAAGAAGGCCCAAAUCUUCCGCUACGCCCCUCUCCCUGAGGAGCUCCACACCGUCUCUAACUGGAGCGGGACCCACGAGGUCCAGACCCGGGUCUUCCACCAGCCCGAGACCCUUGAGGAGCUCGAGAAAGUGGUCAAGGAGGCCAAUGCUAGGAAGUACCGGAUUCGCCCCGUCGGCUCUGGGUUGUCCCCCAAUGGGAUUGGAUUGUCCAGGGCUGGGAUGGUCAAUUUGGCUCUCAUGGAUGAGGUCUUGGAGGUGGACAAGGAGAAGAAGCGAGUGAGAGUGCAAGCUGGGAUCAGGGUCCAGCAAUUGGUUGAUGGGAUUAAAGAUCAGGGCCUUACUUUGCAGAACUUUGCAUCCAUUAGGGAGCAGCAGAUUGGUGGAAUUCUGCAGGUUUCUUCUCGUUUACAUUAUUCAUUCUUCAUUGUUGCCUGCUUUGUAAAUGACAUGUCGUAUGUUGUAGGUUGGUGCACAUGGUACUGGUGCAAGGUUACCUCCUAUUGAUGAGCAGGUGAUCAGCAUGAAAUUGGUCACUCCUGCCAAGGGAACAAUAGAAGUCUCCAAGGAGAAAGAUCCGGAACUGUUUUAUUUAGCUCGCUGUGGCCUUGGCGGUCUUGGAGUUGUUGCUGAAGUUACCCUCCAGUGUGUUGAGAGACAGGAGCUUGUAGAGCACACUACUGUUUCAAACAUGGAAGAAAUCAAGAAAAAUCACAAGUAAUGAUUUACUCGUUUCAUUGGGUUCAAUAAUCAGUUCUGAUGACAAUUUCUUGCAACUAGUUAAUGGAUUUAUUGUAGAACAUUAAUCUGAGAGACAACAUCUAAUUAGUUUGGAGCAUAGGGUCUUAUAAUCAUCUAUUGGAUGGUGAAAACACUUGGACCAAGUGCUGAAAAACCAUUAAAAGUAUUUUCUCACAGUCAUCUAGAAAAAUUUGAGUACUACUAUCUUAUAAAAAUAAAUAAAUAAAUGUCAAUCACAACAUGCACAUUGGGUUCUUAAAUCUUAGAAGUCCUACUGAUAAGUCAGCCUUAGCUGCUAAUUCACACUGUUUUCCGCAUUUGUCUCUUUCCUAUUCCUAUAUUCACUGGCUGCAUGUUUAUUGUAUGAUCAUUAUACAGUAUAAAUGAGCAAUGAAUGAUACAGGAUCGAUUGUUUCACACAGGUUAAAGAUUCUUUUUUCUUUUCCUUUUCCCCAGGAAGUUGCUCUCCGAGAACAAACAUGUGAAGUACCUCUAUAUUCCAUAUACCGACACUGUUGUGAUUGUGACGUGCAACCCUGUCUCAAAAUGGAAAGGUCCCCCAAAGUUCAAACCCAAAUUUACAACGGAUGAAGCCAUUCAGCACGUUCGUGAUCUAUACAGGGAAUGCCUCAGGAAGUACAGGUACAAUUCUCCCCUGUCCUUUUUCUACUGUAUAAGCUAGAAAGAUAGUUCCUCAUAUUCAAGGACCACAGGAGGGGAUAAUUAUUCCUUUCUAAGCAAAUUAUAAGCUGCUUGCAAUGAACAUCUUGUCUUAAGUACAGUCAAGCAAAGGUUUAAUUACUGCUUGAGCUAGAUGACAUAGUGGGGAACAAAGUCAUUACAAAAUGGUCUUACGGUAAUGUAUAAUCUUCGUUUCAGGAAAGGGUUCUCUUCAGUCUUCGGGAAAAAUAGAGAAAACACCAGUAGUUAACUAAUUUGAGAUUUUCUACUAUGAAUAGUGUUGACAAUAGUUUUUUUGUCAACCUUUAGUUGGCCAAUGAACCUUUACUCGACAGUUCGUUGACUAAAUUAAGUUAGAAAGUUUGCUUGUAUACUGUUAAAAUUACACUCAUUAAUAAAAUAGACAAGUAUGUUAAAAUUCUAGUUAGGUUUAGUAUGAUGGAUGCUAUGGAAUUUGGUUUGUGAUUUGGGAUGUAUAUCAUGGUCUGAUAAGAAUCUGAAUUAUGCAAGUAAGUAGAUUAAAGGAGAUGUGUUCUUCGGAAUAUAGAGCAAACUUUCUUAGAUGUCAAUGGAACCGAGAAUAAGAAUGGAUAUUUUAUUAGUUCUUCAAAUUACACACACAAUGGAGAAGUUUAAUAUUUUUGAGUAUCUGUAUUUUGAUUUUGAUCACUGAUGGAGAAAAUGUGGUUGAGGAUUUUUCUAUACAUUGCUGUUUUUAGUAGGGAAAUAAAUGCAUGGGUGAUCAAAGCCUUUUAUUGGUUGCAAGGUUUGCAGAUGAUGCUUUGUUUCCCCAUAAUUGGAAUUUUUGUUUUCCCACAAGAGCUCUUAGGAUUAUUCAAGUUGGUGUCAAUGAAGUUCUAGUUGAUUUUGUCACCAGUUUGGUCGCCAGUCACUAUUGAAUUUCGGAAUCAUUGUUUGUCCGCUUCACUGUUUGAUUUUGGAAGACUGGUCUUCAUAAAUAAAAAAUAAAUAAAAUUAAAAUAGCCUCAGAUGUUUUUUUUUUUGGAAAAAAAAAAAAAAAAAAACAUCUGAGGCUAUACCUGGCACCUUGCUAAUAUCUUCUUUGUCAUAAAGGCUUUCGAGUUUUUAUGAAUUUUAUAAACUUUUGUAGUGCAAAACAUAAUUUUAGAAAUGUGGCUUGUGGAUGUGAGAUUUUCUUGAGGCAUAAUGUAACAAAGAUCUUAUGAAUGAACGGAAAAGUUGGCCUUUUGAAGGGAUUGUAUGGUAGUUUUUAUAGGUCAAUCAAAAGGUAAUUUUGCAUGUAGAUUGACUGUUAUCUGUCAUUGCAGUUUGCUUUCUGUGAAGAAAUUAGAUGUUGGGAAGGCCUCCUUUCAUGAUUCAAUUAUUUUAGACUGCGUCUGUCUAAUGCUAUUGAUGCAUUGUUUCUGAACUAUGCUAUUGAUGCAUUAUUUCUGAACUGUCACCUUGUAGUGUCAUCCAUAAACUUCUUGGUUCUAUCUCUGAAACCUAAUGAUACAGACUCAUUGGAUUUCACUCUCUGAUUCACUUCUCCGUCUUGUUUCCUCACUUUCCUGGAAAAAGAUCUUAGUCCUUUAAUUCUUUUGGGUAUUCUAGUAAAAGUAGUUAACUGGAUUCUCUGAAGGAGAAGAAAGUAUUACUUCAUUACGAGAACCCAUAUCUGAAGCUUUCUUUUCGGGGACUGAAAUAGUGUUGAUCAAUUUCCUUUAUUUAUCACGUGUAUUACUUUCUUUAAUAUUGUUCUGUUAAGCAUAGCAUCAGGUUCUCUCUCUCUUCUUCAUUUUCUUUUCAAUUAUUUGUUUAUAGAAGUACAUUUCAUACUGCUAUUUGGCAGACUCAUCUGCUAUUUGUGGUUGAUUUAUGCAAUAAAUGCAGAGUAGUUCCAGACAACAGUGUAGACAUAGACGAACUCUCUUUUACAGAGUUGCGUGAUAAACUCAUUGCCCUAAAUCCUCUCAACAAGGAUCAUAUCGUUAAAGUGAAUCAAGCUGAGGCAGAGUUCUGGAGGAAGUCGGAGGGAUACAGAGUAGGAUGGAGUGAUGAAAUUUUGGGCUUUGACUGUGGUGGCCAACAAUGGGUUUCAGAGACUUGUUUUCCAGCUGGAACUAUUGCCAAACCCAGCAUGAAAGACCUUGAAUACAUAGAAGAUCUAAAACAGCUAAUAGAGAAGGAAGAGAUUCCUGCACCUGCUCCAAUAGAGCAGCGUUGGACAGCCAGUAGUAAGAGCCCCAUGAGUCCAGCUUCAAGCUUAAAGGAGGAUGAUAUAUUUUCAUGGGUAAAUUCAUGAACAACUGUGUGUUCCAUUUGUAUUUUGUUAAUUUCUAUGCAUCUUGAAAUAUAAAAGGGUAAGUGAUAAUGAUAGAUUAAGUGCUUGUUGGCGUACAUAGUAAACAAAAUUGACUCAUCUCGCUGGAAAAAACCAUGUGCACUUGUUCCAUAUAGUUUAAGUAAUUAGUAGGGAGAGAAUCAUUGUGCCAUAUGGUUUGGGUAAUCAGUUUCAAUGCAAGGCUCAUUGUUUACUGACAGAUAGUGUCGUUAGAGUCCCUUGAGUCCAGCUUCGAGCUCAAGAGAGAAUGAUAUAUUCUCAUGGGUACUAUACAGAAUUCACUCAUCUCCCUGCAUAAAAUCCUUGCCUAUGAUCCUGAAUCACUUUCACUUUCUGAAUCACAUGAGGUUUUCGUUUAUACAUUAGACUUGAGUCACAAACUUCAGGGCAUGAUUUGAGUUGGAUUGUAGGCUUAAUUUGUUUCAGAAAAUUUGGAUUACUCGCCUCUUUUUAUCAGGUGUUUCCCUGACCACUACCAAUAACAUUGUAUUUGUUUUGUAUCAGGUUGGCAUUAUCAUGUACCUUCCAACGACAGAUGCCCGCCAAAGAAAGGAUAUUACAGAAGAGUUUUUCCACUACAGGCAUCUAACUCAGACACGGUUGUGGGAUACAUAUUCUUCUUAUGAACACUGGGCCAAGAUUGAGGUAGUCAAUACAUCUUGAUAUUUAUCAUUUAUUAUUAAUAUUAUUGUCAAAACGGCACCUGGAUUUUGGUUUCUCAGAUAUCCACCAAUUCAUGCUAAACCUGCAUAAAAAUCGAGUCAAAAGCUGGACUAGCAAUUGCAUAUUAAGAUUAUCAUUUACAUGAUCAAGCUGCUUUUUAAUCUUACUUGCUCAUUCCUUAAACAGGUCCCAAAGGACAAAGAACAGCUUACCACUCUGCAGGCAAGGCUUAGGAAGCGUUUUCCAGUUGAUGCCUACAACAAAGCACGAUCGGAGUUGGACCCAAACCAGAUCCUUUCAAAUGUCAAGCUGGAAAAGCUAUUUCCAUCGUCUGAUACCAUUUGAGAAGCAUCCUUCAUUCGUUAAUUUAUGUUUUUUUAUUUUAUUUUUCCUUUCUGCUUUUCUUCUAUUCUUUUACUCAAAUUUGCGUUUAGCCCUAAGGUAACAUCACUACUGUGUAUAGAUUUGAGAGGAUAUUGCUAUACAAUGUGGUGUAAUAAUAAAGCUUAAAAGGGCCAUGAUUGCAUAGGAGAAGCCUUUUUUAUAUAACCCUUGGACUUAUGUUCUCGUAGGAAACGGGCGAUUCUGGCUCUGGCAUGGAUUAGAAUGAUGUUUGCUUCGUUUCCGGAAUCCAAUUAUUACUAAGCAGGUGUUUGCUCAUCAAUUGGUUGUUUCUCUGCACUGCAAGUUCAGAAAAGGAGGGGAGAAAGAUACCAGAGGUCUUUUAACCCAGAAGACGGUGUGCAACUGUGCAUGUCUUCAUUCACGACAUGGACUUUUUAAAACUAGGUGUUUGCGGAUCGUGAAGCACUUAUAAAGGGUUGAGCUUAAUGGGAGCAUGGAGCAGGGCAGAGGCCCUUUUGGUGUGAAAUGCAGUGUAUAGAAAAUAAAAAGGUGAUGAAUUUUUAUUGCAACAUGUAUUAUGGUAGUUCUAAUACAGUAGUAUAACGACUAGAGAGGCGAUCACUCCGAGAUAAAUACUAUAAAGCUCCGAGACAAUAAGAGCUAUUAUGGUAGUUCAGCCGUGUGAAAAAACCAACAUGAUGGCGGUGGUGAAAAAUAGUUCAGAAACAUUCCUCGCAGAGCCAACAGCAGCACAAGGCAAAUAAGCUGCACCAGUGGAAUGAAAGUAUGUGUUAGUAUCAAUAUUAUAUGGACAUGAAAACAAUGAACAAGAUGAGUAUGUUGUCAAUGCGCUGUGUUACUACCAAGUACCAACGUUGCUAUUGUGCGGUAAUUUUCCCAUUUCUGUUCAGAGUAAAAAAUCCUUAUGAAUGGAGAUAACUUACCAGCCCUCAAUGAAGCCCCUGUCUCCUUUCUUUUUAGUCUGGGGCCGAAACUUCUUCCUAGUUGGAGGAUCAUUGGUUGCAGUUGGGUAUCCUGCACCACAUCAACAUUAAAAAGGUUGUUCUGUGAAUCAUAUGAUGGGAGAGAGAGGCACCACAUCAACAUCAAAAAGGUUGUUCUGUAAAUCGUAUGAUGGGAGAGAGAGAGACCUGGUGGAGGUUGGUUGUCUUGUGUCUCUGUGGUCUUGGCCAUUUUGAUGAAGAAACACUUGGAGCUAAGACUUGCCUUGGUGACUGUAGUAUUAUUGUGUAUGCUGAGUACUGUAAAUAUAAGAUAGAGCCGGUGCAGGGUGCAGGUAUAUAUAACCCCGUAAGGCGAGGGAGUAAUGAUGUGAUAGAAGGGUCAUCUGCAGGCUGCAGUGUAGAAAGUGGUGCUUUCGGUGUUGAACAAAUCAGGUUCCAGAUGGUUCUUUUGAAAUCGGAUCCUUCUCAUCUCAGUUCUCACCUUUUAUUAGGUUCAUUAUCAUCAUCCUUAGUGCUCUUUUUCUUUAACUAGCCAGCUUAGUGAUCGAGGCAAUCUAUAUAGAAAGAGCCACAUCAUACGAUUCCAAUUUAUUAGAAGGCCAAAAAACUAAUCAAGUAAGAGAAGAGGAAACGCGGCAUUUCCUUUUCAUGUGGAUUCUUUGCUUCGUGAGGAGGAGAAUAUAUAUGAAGCAGGGAAAAGCAUGAAAAAAGAGUUCAAGAAAAGAUACAAGAACGAGCAAAGUUCGACACCUAUCUGGAGUUCGACACAGGUAUUCUGCCUAUCAAGACAUAGAAUAUGUUCUUUGUUCUAAAUAACAUUAAGUUUUGUAUAGCUGUCACUUAAUUCCGGAGGAUUAUGCUCCUCCCUCCCUUGAACAAUGAAACUGAGCUACUAAAGCAAUUUUGGCCAUAUCAUGCGCUCUUCUGUUAGCAUCUCGACCAACAUAUAUAAGCUAAGAAUACCAGGGUGAAUUAGAUAAUAAAGCCCUAAUAUCAUCCAAAACUCUUCCCAAUUCAGAGAUAUCCAAACCACCUUCUCCCUUCAUACCUUGAACAACUAGAUAAACGAUAUCAGUCUCGAAUGCAACAUUCACAAACCGUAAAUGAAGAACCAACUCACAAGCGCUAAAAGCAAGUGCCUCCAUAGUGACUGCAAUAAAGAAAUCUAAACACAAAAGAUUGUGGAAGUUUUUCUUCUAUAUUUAUUGAUAAUCUUUACAAGUGUUAUAAAUAUUAUAAUGUAUAUGGUUGUCCACGCAAUUACUAAUUAAUUAUGUACUAUGAUGUAAACCCUACCUAUAUAUAUAUAUAUAAAGAGGCUAAUGAGAAUGAAUGAGUAGACUUUUACCUCCUCCCAACUAUUCUCUCUGUGUCUUCUCUCUAUCUUUUCUUUACUUUACAACACGUUAUCAGUGUUUUGUUUAUAAACUCAAUGAUGAUCGAAAAAGUCAUACGGUGCAACUCAAUGUUGUUUAUUCUUACCGAUAGUCUUGAUCUAUGAGUUUGAUUUUUUUUUUUUUUUUUUUAAUUUUCUAGAUCAUGUUGAUUGUUAUAUUGUUUAUGAAUAUUGUUAACGGUUGCAAUUAUGAUUGUGGGUGUUCGAUGCAUCAUCGUUGUUUGAUGCUCCACCUCAUAGGAAUUGAGUGUUUAAUUGGGUGAUUGCUGCUUGACCUCCUAGAGGUUGAACACGGCAGCUCAAUGUUGAACAAGAAGCCGAGAGAGGCGGCUUGAGUGAUCCUCGGCUCGGUCUAAUUGACUGCUGCAACGGGUGUGAGAGUUGUGUCAAUAACUAGCCUGUGUUCCACCUCGGGCUUAUGAAGACUGUUGUGUCAAUGAUCGGCAAUUUUCAUGAAUCAUGAUGUUGAUUUUCUUUAACAUAUAUACAUCUUGAUUCACAGAUUAUGUUUUUGCAAACAAAUGGAUUGGUUUGAUCGUCCUUCAUAUAUCUAGAUUAUGGGACAUCUAGCUACUGACUUGCAUAUCACAAGCAUUUUUUUUUCGAUUGAUCAGCAUGAUGUACAUGCUUCUUUGUGAUCAUACGUGGAAAGACCAAAAGACCAUUGUAGGUCGGGUCUGAGAUCUAAUCUUUGGUUCUUACUAGUGACUUUCUGCAAGCAUAUAAACCUAUUCAGGUGUGUAUUUGCCAGUAUGACCAAAUGGAUUCAAUUCGUACAUGAUCCGAUAUAUUUUUCUUGAUCUAAAUUGAGAGUAUACGCUUACAUCGAGUUGUGAAUUUUGCAAUCAUAGACAGAUCUAGACUUGAAGUCUCUAGCUUGAUCAAACUACAAAAGGACCUGAAGUUCCUCGAGAGUAAUAUAUAAUUAGAAUUGCAAUAUGAAGUUUCUCAAAGCUUAUGUAAUUACCAAAGGCCAAAAGUUCCCUCAUAGUUAUACAAUGAUCGAAACCACAUAUUGUGAUCCCUAAUCAUAUACGGGCCUGAAGUCCCUCACCUAUUUGAUAUUAAUCGCAUGUGUAAGUACAUGAGAUCAAGAAAACAAGAUUAUCAUAUUUAAUAAAGUUAACCAGACCUGAAGAUCUGUGUAUUUUAUUUAUUCAUGGAACCAGAAGUUUCCUAUGUACAAUUUAUUUACUUUUUGUUGUUUACAGUUUUCUUAUUUUGUUAUGCAAUUUCAUUAUUGUACUUAUUGUUUAAAUUUUAUUGUUAUUCAUAUGGGCCAACAGCUCUACAUCUCGAUCAUAUGAAUUUCGAGUGUAAUAUGUUUGGACCAGAAGAUUCAAAAUAUUGUACUGCAGAACCCGAAGUUCUAAUAGUAAAUUUCAAAUCUAAACCUUUGAUUACACGUAUCAUUGAUGGCUCCAGAAGAGCACAUACAGUGUUAAAUUUCUACAAUAACUCGAGACAUAUAAUAUCAUGAACCUGAAGUUCAUUGAAACUGGGCAUGACUAACUAAGUCAUAAUUUACCUAGCUAGAGUGUUGUCUUGAAUAAGUUACAAGUUUUGAUGAACACUAGUCUAUAUGCCGCAUAUUUUUGAGUUAUCAUCUCAAUGAGCCACUCCUCUUGUCGUGAGGGGGAGAAAAAUUGUUCCUGAAGAACGAUGUAAGUUGGUGUGAGUUGUUUAACCGCCAUCUCAUUUUGAUAUUGAGAUAUGUGUCAUCAAUUAGUAAUUUGAUAAAAGAUUGUGAGAAAAGUAUAUGCUAGAUUCACUGUUUUCUACUUGGAUUAAAGUUUAUGAGACUAUCCAUAUUAACUCAAAUAUUCUAUACCCCAUUUGAUUUAUGGGAUGCAUGUGUAUCCAUGUGACAUGGUUCUCCUGAAGAGAAUGUCAUGAUAUAAUGUUAGAGUUCCUAAUACGGCCACACAUACAAAGGUUGUAGGUACACCAUUAGAGAAUAUUAUCUUCGUUGACACAUGAAUUUAAUAUUCUUGACCUCAAACUUGGUUUUGGUUCGCCACCAGCCAAUGAACAUCUCACUCGAAAGAAAGUGAUAGAGCUUUAAACACGUAUUAGCGCAUGGUCAUAAUAUGACAGUCUUCUUGCCGUUAGGGGGAGAAUAAGACUAUUGUCAUUUGAAUAACGGCGUGAAUUUGAGUGGAAUGUAUUCACUUGGUCUAAAGUUUUAAGCUCUUGAAAAUGGAAGAUUAUACAGGUCCUCUAAUGGUCUACAUGAUAUUACAAGUAAAAGAUCCACAUUCGCUAGAUAAUAUUUGUCCUAGAAGUGACAAUAUUUGCCCCAGAAGUGGCAUGGGUACCCAAUAUCAAAAAUGCAUGUAUAUAAGAAUGUGUGGGAUCUAUGAAUGAUGAUCAUCUAUGACAAUUUACAAAUUGUAGCUACCAAAGACCAUUAAGGACUGUAUUAAUCGAUGCUGUGUCACGUUUCAUGAUGCAUGUCGACAAAGCAUAUUAUUGGCCAAAUUGGAAAGAGGCAAUUCCAAUUAAACUAAAUAUUUGACAUGUGAUGAGAUACUUUGUCCUUUAACCCUACAGAUACAAAAGGGUAUUUACCACAGUGAAAGUAAAUCACUAUGAUUUAAUGUCUACAAAAGACAUGGGAUUAUGAAUCUGCCCUUAUACGAAUGAUACUUUUCUAUAAGUACAGUGUUACAUGUAACUGUUAUAUGGACGAGAGACUUAUGACAUGUUGUCAUCGUAUAUUACGAGGGCCUUUAAAGACACGUUGUUAUAAGCAAAUCCCCAAAAAUGAAGUGUCAAUACAAGCGUAUCGCUUGUCAAAUCCUCAAAGGAUUCAAGUACAUGAAUGAUUCUAAUGUAAUUCGAUCCAUGAAUACUUGAGAGAGCCUGAAGCUAAUUCAUGGAAUUAAAUAGUCUAAAGCUAGCUCAUAUAUACUCAUUCCGUUAUAAUUAACGUGAUCAAAAUUGCCUCAAUGAGUACUAUGAUUGGACUACAAAAUCGAAUUUGAAUUAUGAUCAUUAUGUUGCUACAUAUUCUAACUCUUGGGAAGUUAUGAAUUACUCAGAGCUUUUGUAGAGCUUAUAUUAGACAUAUCACUACACAAAUAUAUUAAUGUGUAUGGCUAGAUACGCCAUGAGAUUUUCAAUGUUUUAAUGUCAAUUUUCUUAUGUUGUUUAGCCAUUGCUUAGUGUAUGAAUUUGAUCAUAUAUAUAACGUACUAAAUGAGGUAAGACAUAUUAGAAAAUCGUCUAGCUCUGUUGGUAUUGUUUUAACUAUGUAGGUUUGAAAUUUCAUGAUGAGUCCCCAUAUGCAAAACAUACAUGGUGUCACUUUAGUGAUGAACAAUCAAACCGUUAUUUACGGUGCAUGAAGCUUGCAAUGCUCAUGGGGAGAUUCUCAUCAGGGGGAGCAUCCAGAAGUAUGCUACCUAAGACAUAUUCGCGUUGCACUCUUUUUCUCCUUCGACCAGGGUUAUUUUUCUCCCACUAGGUUUUACUUACCUGGCAAGGUUUUUAACGAGACAACAUUAUGCGCGUCUAAUUUCAUCAUUCAUUGGUGGACAUCCAAGGGGGAGUGUUAUAAAUAUUAUAAUCUAUAUGGUUGUCCACGCAAUUACUCAUUAAUUAUGUACUAUGAUGUAAACCCUACCUCUAUAUAUAUAAAGAGGCUAAUGAGAAUGAAUGAGUAGACUUUUACCUCCUCCCAACUAUUCUCUCUGUGUCUUCUCUCUAUCUUUUCUUUACUUUACAACAACAACGUUUAAUAACAAGUAUAUAUAGAUACAAAGUUUAAUAACAAGUAUAAGAGAAGCUAAAGCAAACUCAGCCACAACUAUGGCACUGAGAUCGAGGUUUAAUAAUCUUUACAAGGUUUAAUAAUAAGUAUAUAUAUAUAUACAAUAUAUAUAUACAAUGAGAAUCAUAUAAGAGAAGCUAAAGCAAACUCAGCCACAAUUGUGGCACCGAGAUCGAGGUCACCAUGUUGCUGCUGGCAGAGAGACAAGCAGCAACAGCCAACCUGUAUAGAUCGAUGAAAAUGAGGUGCAUAGAGAUGCAUUCAUUUCAGCAUUACGUUUCUCAGGUACCUUCUCCACUACUUCCUGCAUAUAUAUUCUCAUACACCACCGAUUCUACCUAAAACAUCGACUGAAAAUAGUCGAGAACAACCCUCUCCAUACCGGCCUGAGAGUUCUGCCAUUAAUUCCCCCAUCCUUGUCAAAUAAAUUAGCUAGACGAAUUUUUUGUUCUCUAGUUUGAUGCUUUCUAGUGGAACACUAUUACAAAAAAAAAACCCAUUUGAGGACGUUCAAAAAUCGUUUUAAAAGACUUUUAGAGUGCCACCUAAAAAACGUCAUCUUCUAUCAAGAAGUCAUUGUAUGUCAUCUUUUAGGAUGUUGGAAAAACGUCCUAAAGAGUCUACAAAGACACUGGAAAAGCGCCCUUGUAUACACUGGAAAAGUUUUUGGGCUUCAUUGCUCGUUUGGUCAGAGCUUGAUUACGACAGUGGUGUGGCAAGGAGAGAACGAAAAUCAAUGUAUGUCGAGGUGAAAGUGGCGUCAGAGCCUUGGCUUGUUGAGUGUGGAGGCGAGCAGUGGUGCAUGACAGUGGUUCUGCAGGUUGAGUUUGGGUCGGAAAUGAGUUAUGAUUCCAUAAGUGGUGACUGUGAGAUGAGGUGUUGGCCGGAAAUGAGGAUUCGAACGAGGGCAUAGAGAGAACGAGAGGGAGGAGAGGAGAAAAAUGAGAGAAACUUAGGGUUUUAGAUCUAAAUACCUUUCAAUGUGAAAAGUCCUAACUGCCCUUAAGAAACUCAUGAAAAGUUCGAGAAAAUUAUAAACUUUCACAAACCACAUUUUAUUCAUACGAACUCUGAUAUGAGCGUGUCACGUUCCACGAACUUAGUUUAACAUUCUCUAAAUGUGGAGAUUGUCUUCUGAUUCGAUUACUUUAUAAAAAGUCAAUCAUGUUUGCAAAAUAGUAAAACGGUACUUGUUAAAGAGUCAAACUCGAAUUAAGUAAAAGUAAAUUGAUCGACAUGGAGUGAGUUGGGUGUUUUGGGAAUGAUUAUGGGAUAGUAAUUUUACUAAGUGUUGGACUAACUCUCCACUGAGGUUCCUCUCUCUGGUGAGGUUCUUCUCUCCGUUGUAGUUUUUUGCCAGGGAGACUAACAAACAAAGUUAGAUGGAAGACCGGACGGACUCAAUUGUUCCUUCUGCGACGCCCAACUCAAACACCAUAACGGAUAGCUGAAGGAGUAGGGGAAGAGGGAAUGAUGAGUUAGUAACCUGCAGAGAGGAGGCAAUGCCUUAUUUAUAGGCGUGCACCUUAGGUAGUGUUUAACAUAGGUUCCACCAACAUUAGGUUCGGAAUGUGUCACAUGUUAGUUGACAGGCUCCGCACCAAAUUUCACCUUAAAAUCCGAAGAUGCCCCAUAUGGCGACUUUAGGAAUAACCUCUACCAAAAAUUAAGCAAAACUACCCUUAAACCGUUAAACACGUAGACUACCCAACUCAAAUUACAGUAAAGCAUGCACUUCCACUAACACACCAAACCACCACUUUCAGAACAUAUCUGCUCCCCACAUAUCCACAAUAAUCCACCAAGAUCAACAUUAAUUCAACAAACACCAGUUACUAUUUUUUUUUUUCUAACCUCAAAAUCCUGGGAGGGCUUGAGUCCCUCCCACCCCUGUACCUAGAUCAUUCAUAGCAUUUGCAUCCAAAUGGUAAAACCAAGCUAUCUGACAUGCGAAUUGUAUGGAAUUACUGGUGAUGAUUAUAUGAACAGUUGGACACAAUUGAACAUGCAUAUUCAGAUCAAACAUAUGGCUGCCGUACUAAUGUUCUAAAUACAUUAUUAACAUACUCGAUCGAUUCUCCGUAUUGUUUUGAUUUCACUUGUUUGUUUGACUCAAGUGGAAGAACCAUUAAAUUGAAGUUCCCAUAUUACAGAGUGAAAUGCAGAAAACCAGUUUGCUGUUUAUACAGAUACUUUGCUUCCUUUAGAUGGAAGGUUGAAGAACUUGGAUUCAAAAGGGUUGAAAGACGAAAGAGAAAAAAGUAUUAAUACUGGAUCUAAAUGCGAGAGCCCACAGGGCAGCUACUAGCCAAGUCGGAUAGAGAGAUCUAGAAUAGACCAGUGACCACCACACAAGGAUAACCACAUACAUAUAGAUGUAGACAAAAGUAGAUUAAAGAAAACUAGGGUUUUUAGCUGUAAGUUUUGUUUUGUUUUGUGGAAGCAUAAGUACUGUAUGCACUAAAGGCUAGGCCCAGAUCAAUAUGGCAAAGGGAAGACAAACAAGAUGAUUACAAUAUAUAGGGAAUCCGGAGUGCAAGAUUUUGAUACUAAUCCUAAUAAAUAGUUUUUGAUUGUGGAGGGAUCUUGUGUGUUUCCAUGUUCAUGCGCGCAAUAGACAACCACUCAUUUUGUCCGCAGAGCCAUAUACUGUAUGAGCUCUCUCUCUCUCUCUCUCUCUCUCGCGUACGUCCUGAGUUUAAAAUAGUGAACCCAGAAAAACCACAAACCACAGCCAACCGUAGUUUCUUCCUUAGAUUAUAUAGCUAUUGAGAGCUUCUUAAUAAGAAAUUAUGAUUGGGAAGAGACAGCUCAUUUCCCCAUAAUUCCCUGUGUAUCAAGUACCCUACACCAGUGUGUCCAAACAUAUAUAUAUUUAGAGCUAACAAUAUUGUCUUAAUUAGAGCUAACAACUAGCUAAUAAGAUACCUCCCCUAGCCUACCAUAAGAUACUGAACUACUCCAAUUAUAUAGAUUUAAUUUAGAGUUCCCUGUCUGUGUGCUGCUAUCCCCGGCCACUCUUCAACUCACUAGCUAGCAAUAGCAUAAUGGUGCUGUGAUUUACACUUUCUGAGAGAUCAUUAUUGCAAAACUUUCCUUUCCUUUUUGGUCACCAUUUGCAACAACAUUUACACACACUUGUUAAUUAUCUCAUCAAUCAUCAAAUCACACACGUAAAUAUAUAUUGCGAUUUUAUAUACUAGCUAGCUAGCAAUUGGGAAGUCUUUCUGUAUGUUGAAAAUAUAUGAUAAUAUAUAUGAUCAUGGAGAGGCCGGGGAUUAUGAGAGGUGGGUGGGGGACAAAGAAAAUAUAAGGUCCAUAAUAAAUAAGCAAUAAAAUUAGAUAGAUCAAUAAAUACAAACAAGAUCGAGAUGAUGAUAUAGAUGAAAUGACAGGCCAUAGCCAAAACUGUAAAGGGUUGAAAAGAUUGACCUGGGCGCGUCUCCGCCAUCUCUCUAUUCCAUUCUGUUCCAUGUUCCAUCUCCUCUCUUUGCGACUCGAUCUCAUCAGCAGUGUACAGCCAAUUUCAAAAAAUAAAUAAAUCAUUCCCAGAUCAUUCAUUCUGAUUAGCUUCUAGCUACUCCAACUUUCUAUUUGUAUGUCUCAUCAAUCAAAACCUCCAGGCACAUUCCAUCUCAUCAUUUCAUAUGUAUGAUGAAAUGAUCAUGAACCAACAAAGAGGCUAGCCUACAAAACAAAAUCACAGACAACAAAAGCACAAAGAAACACAGAAAAAGGAGCUUAGCUAGCCAGAAAAUUAAGACUGAUGGACCAACAGAUUAUAAAAUUCAAUAUUAACUAAUUUCCAUAGAAUAAUAUUUCAUGAAUUUUCUCUCGAAUAUUAUAACUGAUGGAUGCAUGAUCGAGCCUAGAAGUCAUGGGAGUGGUGGUACAUUGUUGAUGGAUCACAGCCACCUUGUCUACCGUGAGAGUGAUGAUGAUGCUGAUGAUGAUCUUCACUAUCCAUUCUUGAAGACCCCAUUUGAUUUUGAGGAGCGGAAGACCCGGUUGCCCCAAGAUUCAAAUACACCAAUCUUGAAUCCAAGUUAAGGCUAAUAUUGCUGCCGCCACUGCCGCUGCUAUGGUGAUCGUGAUGAUCACUCAUCGGUUGAUAAAUGGCCGUGUUUGAAGAAUUAGAAGCAGAAUUGUUUGCAUUGUUAUUGCCUUCUUCUCGCGAAAGAACAAGAGCAGCCGACUGAACAAGCUCAAGGCAGAGCCUGAGCUUGUUGGGUUCAAUGUGCGUCAGUCCGGGAACAGCCCCUUUGAAAAGAAAAUCCGAUGUUAGGGUUCGAAGCACAUCGAGGGGAGUGACUCCGUCAACGGUACGGACAUUGGGGUCAGCAUGGUGGUCAAGAAGCACGGCCACCAUGUCCGGAGACACCAUUUCAGAGGCAAUGUGGAGCGGGGUUUUGCCAGCUGGCCCGGCCGGGUAGUUAACAUCGGCUGCUCCGAGUUCAAGUAAAGCUUUCACCACUUCUCGGCUACAACUUUCGACAGCAUAGUGUAAUGCCAAAGCCUCGUCCAGAUUUAGGCCUUCCCCCAUCACCAUAAGCUUGACGAGCUCGACAUCCGAUGAGUCCAAAGCUCUCCUCAUACGACGAAUCUUCUGGUCCUCUAGAUCCGCAGCAGCACCCAUGUCGUGGUGGUGGUGAUGGUGGUGGUGGUGGGGCAUCAUUGAGCGGCGUGCGAUGGAGGAUUUGAGGCGGAGCUCUUCGAUUUUGGCCACAACGUCGAUGGGAAGGUGCUUGGCGAGUACCUCCGGCGGGAGACCAGACUUGGCAACAAGGUGAGAGCACGUUGUCCAGAGCUGGUGCAUGUCCUGCUUUCUCGAAGCUAAUAGAACUUUCAUCACAUCAUCAAUUGACGUCCUUUUCCACCAUGCUAGCCAAUUGCUUCUGAGAGAGAGCCACACACCAUUANNNNNNNNNNNNNNNNNNNNGAGAGAGAGAGAGGGAGAAGGGAGAGACAUAUGCAUUGUGUAAAGUGAUGAUGGGAUGUUUUUGCUAAAAUUAUGGGGUAGGUGGUCCUUUUCUUGAAUUUUGUAUUCCUGACGAGAUCAACCAAAUGGGGGAAGUGAAUGUUUGGGAAAGAUCUCCUAUUGAUUACUGUGGAAAGACAAGACCGGAUCGUAUCAAGAUCUAAAUUUAGAAAGACAUGGAGGCUCAUUUCUAAGAUAGAAAAGAAACCCAGUUCAGGAAACUUGGAGCAUCUGAGUCGUACAUGAAAUCUAAGAAAAAGAAUGUUGUGCGACGAUUACUUGAACAUCAUCACCCUUCCACUAACUUUACCUAGCUAGAAAACCAGAAGAUGAAGAACAAGAAGAACGAACGAACACCCUAUAUGUAAAGGUAACCGAGGGCUGAGAUAAUUAAAAAUUAAUCAAAAUUGGGAGGGAAAAUGAGAUUUGGGAUUGGAAAUGAAAGCACAACGUACUUCAGCUAGUUCACCCUCAGAAAAUAGAGAAAACCAACAACGAGAUUAGAAAAAAAUUAAGUAGUUUUGUUUUGGCAGUGAGCAAACACACCAAACCCAGAAAGGGAUUGAAGUAAGCUAGGAUUAGUUGCAGUAAUUCUUAAAACCCACCAAACAUAAGACUGCAGUGCACUGGACUGCACUGCAUCACACACUAACACAAAAACCAAGAGAGAAAGAGAAAGAGAAAGGCAAAGAGUGAAAAACACAGUGCGUGGUGAUGAUGAUGGGAAUUAGAAGAGAGAAACCUGAGUAAGCAAUGCAAGUUGUUCAACACCAAAAGAUCUAGCGGCGGCGAGAGUGUCAAGGGCGAGAUCGACGGCUGAGGUGCAAUGCGUGUGCCAACAGCCCCUCUCCCCACAGUUAGGCCUGGGCUCGUGUUUCUGAGGCACUAUGGAGACCUGCCCGCUGUACAGAAACUGCAGCAGCAACAAGAACACCUCGUACCCGACCGAGUUCACCGGUAUAACCUGCGAGCUGCUCAUCCCUCCUCUCUGUGACGUCGACGACGACGUACCCGACCUGCACGACCCCGGGGAUGACACCGGGUCGAGCCCCGAAGGAGGGUCCGGCCCGCAGAAGAACUUGCGGAAGAAGAGGCUCCGCGCAGCCAGGAUGCACCUGUGCGCAUGGACCAGACGACCCUCCACGCUGAAGGUGACGUCACUGAAGGCUUGGCCGUUGAUGAGCAGAUUCAGGUAGUCCAGGGACAGAGAUCUCAGAGAGUCUUCCAGGCUGCUCAUGGUUGAUGGAUCCACGGUCGUUACCUUUGCUUAGCUUAGCUGGGUUCCUGGCGAUUUUGAAUUUUGAGCGAGAAAUACUGUUUUAGGGUUGUGUCACUCGGUCAGAGACAGAGAGAAAGAAACAAAGAUAGAGACUGAUCGAGAGAGAGAGAGACGAAACACUAAAAUAUUAAUGGCUUCUCCAUGUUGGUUUUCUGUGGAUAUUUAAUCUGCUUUUGUUGCUGAAAGGAUGAACAAGAAGAAGGAAGAAGAUGAGGAAGAAAUCACUGUUUGUUGUUUUUGCGAGAGAUUCUUUUGCCUAAAUGGAGUGAUGUUGUGGUGGUAUUGUGUUUGUAGAUAUUUUGUUAGAGAGAGAGAGAGAGAGAGAGAGAGAGAGAGAGAGAGAGAGAGCAAGUUGGGUGGCUGUUCUGGGCGGCUGAGCUAAUUAAAAAAGAAAUCUAAAACUAAAUUUAAAUAAUUGAGUAGUUAAAAAAGGCUGGGGGAAGGAAGGAAAAUGAUGGGGAGGGUCAGAGAUAUGAUUAAACAAUUCAUUUUGGUGAUUAGAAAAAAUCAACAAUAAGUUGUAUUAUAUUCGUUAUUAGGCCCGUGCUUUUACUGUCAAAAUAACCCUAAGCUACUGUUAAUAACAGUAAUUACCUUAAUAUAGAAAUAACACUUUUUGGGGUGGGAAAAUAUCAUAUCAUUUAUUUCUGUAUUCUGUUGACUGCUGUUGGACUAGUCACUAAUGUUGUCCGAACUCUGAACUACUUUGUUCAAUAAAAAAACAGGAAAAUGUUGUCCGAACUUAUUUUUUUAUUUUUUUUAUCAGUGUCUGAACUAAUUUACACUAUCUCUGUUUCUUUAUUUUUCUUUGUUUAUAGGCACAACUCAGAAUAAUAGGAGUUAAGAAGACGGUUCUAGGUUUCAUGUAGCAGCGGCGGCGCCUCCUGGUGGUCUGCCCGGUCUAGGCGUUUCUGGUGUCACUAUUCGGGUGGUUGGGAUCAUGUGCGAGGUGCUCCUUCUUGAGAUUUGGUUGGGUAUGGACGAUUGAAGCUUGGAGGUCUGACGAGGAGGAGAUUGGAGGUGUAGUUUCGGUCUGCGAGGGUGCUUUUGAGAACUAAAUAUCAGGGUUGCCAAAAGGUUAGUUAAGAUUGACUGUUAGGGUUGUGAGGAGGGCUGGUGAGUUUUCGAGGUUGGCAUCGGGUGCUGAGUUCUAGGCGUUGGUCGCAGUUCAUCGAGUUUUUGGUGUGAUGUGGUUCGUGCGGGGAAGACUGCCGAAGUGAUUUGGAGGCGGCGGUUGUCUCAGGUGAUCUGAUCUAGUGUCCGACUUGGUUCUAGGGUUCAGGCAAGCUGAGGGGAGAGUUGGCAUGUGGGAGUGGGUUGGGUCCUAUUGCGCCUGGUCCAUUUUCCCUCUUCUCUCUUACUUAGUUUUGUUUUUGGGCUAGAGUUUCCAGGUUCGGUUUACUAUGAGCGGGCUUAUUUCAAAGUCCUAGUUCAAGACAGUUUACUGUUCUGAUAGGUGGAGGGGUACACCAUGAAGGUCUCUAGGCCCCAAGCUCAUCUUGACGGAUGCCAAAAUUAGGGUUAUGUCGAAUAAAUUCGUUUUAGAAGUUCGCCUUUUUGAAUGCAUUUUGUUUAGUUCUUUGAGUGUCCGCUUUUUGGACUUUAUUUUCUUUGUAGGAUUGUAGUUUAUUAUCAUCUUUUUGGAUGGUAGUCUGGCUAUUAGCUUAGUCAGUUGAGCAGUGGAUAUAAAUGAGUCACUUGUGACCUUCAAGCUUGAUCUUGUAAGAUUGUAUACGUAUUAAUGAAUGGGCUAUUCGCCCAUGGGAAUAACAUCCCUUUCCCUCAAAAAAAAAAAGAAAAAAAAAAGGCACAACUCAGAAUACAAAAUACAAGAAAACCUCGAUAAUUUAAUAUAUUAAUAAUUUUAGAUCGUUUCUUAACAUAGAUUUUUAAUUCAAUUUUACCUCAAUAUUUAAUAAGGAUGUUGUUAUUAAAUCAUCGGUAUGGUUACAAUCAUAGCUUGGAAGAUCUCUAAUCAUAAUAGGAAUGGAGAGCAUCCCAAACCUAGAUCACGAGUCUCCCGUCCGGCGGUGAGCCCUCCCGCCGUUGUUGGAUUGGUCUUCGUUGGCUUCUUGUCGAUCGGUGUGAUAUCGAGCUCCCUAAUUAAGUUCUAUUUGGGGAGGCUGUUGUGAGUUAGGAGAGGUGAUGGUGAUGGGGGUUGCUGUGGCCGACACGAUUUCUCCCACUACGUGCAGGGCUGAUCGACGGAGUGGUAGGCUACCAUAGAUCUGGAGGCGGACAGACAGAGACGAGGUCAAGGCGUUGCAAAUUGAACCAGUCUUUUUUGAUCAGGAUGGAAACCGUUGUGUCUGAUCUGGGCAUGAGCUCAGCUUAUGUCGUGGCCUCUUUGAGGAGCAAUGUGGAUGAUAGGCUCUGGUAGGCGGUGGUCCGCCUGAGGGGGUGUGGUGGCACAAGGGCAAGCGCGGCGGUUGUAAAGCACAAAGGGCCCCAGAAUUUUGAGGUCCCUGUUAUGUCGCACUCGUUGAUAUGAACACAAAGUGCUACGUUUAUAAUGUAUUUCUAACCCUAUUUAACUAUGAUAUUCUCGUAAUAACAUCAUUUCUGACAUGUUUUGUGGUUGUAAAGGCAUGAAGAGCAUAAAAGAAGAAAAGGAAGCUAAAACCGGCAAAAUCUGAAGAGUUCUAUUCAAAGUAGGAUUCCUGGUCUAACUAGGAAACAUGGUCCUACUCAAAAAAGGAAUCCUAGUUACAUCAAAAGUCUCACCGAGAGGCUCAAAAUCAUCAUGGAGAGAAGAGUCCUACUUGGACUAUGAGUCCUAACCAAAGAAGGAGUCUCACCGGAGCACAGAAAUGAGUAAAUCGAGGGAUAUGUCGUUUAGGAAACUUUCCUGUUUUGAAUUAGGAAACUUACUGCUUAUGAAACUUUCCUGUUCUGACUUUCCUUAUGCAUUUUACGAAAUUUUCUAUUCUUGUGACAGGUAGUUGAGUCAAAGAAGAAAUACAAAUCUAACAAGGACUUGGAGUCCUUUUGCCGUGAGAGAGGAGAAAGAGGGAGACGAAAAUGCCGUGAAUUUGAGAGUCCAAGAAGGACUCCUUGCUGCAAGUUGUCAUCCUCAAUUUAAGAAGUUUUUAUGGAACUAAUAUCCAGAAUAAAUAGGAGAGUAAAUUGUUUUAAUUCAAAUACCUAUUUACCUUAUUUCCUAUUGGUUGGAUGACAUCAUAAUAAGUUGUUUUUCUCUUGAAAAUAGGAAGCUUGGCCUGAUUUGUCUCGAGAAGCUGUAUCCUUAUCAAAUUCGGAAUUUGCCCCAGAAAUUUCAGUCAACUUCAACUUCGACGGAUGAUUGCUGACAGGUCACAAUGAACCAGAAAACGUUCAAGAUAUGGAUAGAAAGCUACAUGUCUCUAGUUUUUAGAUAUUUUUACAGCUCAUACAUAUAUAUUUUCCACGAAAAGAUAUUGCGGUUUGAGUGCAUGAAGGUCAAAUCCGCCGAAAAUCAGCAAUUUACACGGAGAAGGAAACCUUAUUUGCCGGUCAUGAUUCAAGCUACAUCAGAAGCACACACUACAAAAAAGAAUUCGGUUAGCCACGGCAAAGAGCCGUCGCCAAAAGCCACUUUGCCCUCGCGAAAGAGCAACAGCGACGGCUUCGCGACGACAUUUUUGCCGUCGCCGUUGAGGGCGUGGCCGUUGCUUUUGGCUACGGCAAUGAGCCGUCGCCACCUUUUUGCGACGGCAGGCAGCGACUGCAAAAGCCGUCGCUUAUUUGGCGACGGCAAAUGGCGACUGCUUCCACCGUCGCAAAUUACCCAUUGGCGACGGCAAACUUACCGUGGCAAAUUCUAUUUAUGAAAUUAAAAAAAAAUCUGGCAAGCAUAUUAGCUUGCCUAAAUUUUUUUUUUUUUAGACAACCUAUACAAAAAAAUAACUUAAAGAUACUGAAAAGAAUUGUUCCAUUCAAUUAGAGUCCUCAAAUGUCAAUAUAUUACAACAUAAGAACUAUCAAUAUAAGCACAUUAAACAGUAAUUUGCAAGUGUUUCUACCAAAUAGUUUUGACACAAGCACAAAACCAACUAAGUGCAACUAUGUCAAAGCCUCCAGAGCCAAAGUUUCAAUAGUAGAUUAUGGUAAAUCAGAAUCAAAAUAAAGUAGCAUGCAAAUCAUAUGACAACACUAAGAAUUAAAAUAAAUCAGACUUGUUGUAUUCGUCCAAUUCCAUCUUGUAAGCCUCCAUGGCUUCAGCUGGUCAUUCCACAACUUCCUCUCUUCCUCACUCAAUUCCUAUACCUAAUAACAACACAAUAAUUAGUCUCUAGUUCGGUCAAUGAAAGAGGACAUUGACUUGAAAAACCAACCAAAACAAAGAGUGUACCUUCCACUUAACUAAAAUGAGAGCAGUAACGGUGGAGUUAAUGAUUCCUUGUCUCUCUAGUCAGUGUACCAUCCACCACUGCACUGGUAGAUGGGUUGAAGACUAGAAGAAAAAAAACAUAACAGAUGCAAUUAGCAGGGUAACAAAACUAAAAACCAACGAGUAUAAAAAAGAUCUUAGUGACGUGCUCGAAACCGGGCGCGUAAUUUAAAAACCCUUUUGUUAUUAGUAUGUAGUAUUGGCAAAUAGGGUUCGAUCAAUCCGGCGACUUAAAGGGCGCUCCUGCAGUCAUGGUUAAUGAAUCAGUAACUAUAUGUAUUUACAAGUAUUCAGUUACAAAUAUACAAAUGGUACAAUAGAUAAAAAGGGGGGAUUUUAGGAUUUCGUUCUACGUUCCUACUAAAACAGAAAAUAAAAGUAUUAUAUACAAGUGAUCGGUUCAUUCAACAUUUCAAACAGAGAUAGAUUCAAAUUCUAACCACACAUCAAUGUCAAGUUUCAUUCCCAAUAAUCUGAAGUCAUGCAAAUUCUAAUUCAAAGAAACAAUCUCGAAAUACAAGCUUGAAGAAGUCAUUGUAUCCCAUUAAUUCUACUUUAAUUGUCUAAGCACAGAGAAGUCUAGAACUUAGAACAUUUCAUGCAUAGGCUGCGAUCGAUACCUAGCGUCGACUCUAAGUACCCGUCCACAUUAAACAGGAAUCAUUACGAUUUAUUAGAAUGAGAUUGAACAACAAACACAUAUCCGAGAAGUCGUAACAUGCAAUUGUUGUAGUUUACAUUUUUCAACCAUUGUUACAUAGUUUCCACCACUUUAGAUCUAUACUUACUUGAAGAAGCUUAGCACAAAUCAUGGCAAUCAGCUAGCAUGCAUUCUAGCUUUAGUAAUUUAAACAAACCGCAAACUUUCAAUCAACAAAAAAGUUGCAAGAUCAGAUCAUAGGAAAAUCAUAAACGAAAUACUAACAUGCUUUAUAAAAUUGUGAAUCCAAAGAACACAAAAGCAAACAAAACAUGCUUCCAAAACUCAAACUUAACAUCCGAAACAUGCUAUUAAAUUUGCUAGAGAAGUCUGAACAAAAGUAAAGGUAGGUUUACACUUUGAUCAAUCUCCAAGAAAGCUUGAUGAUGCCAAAGGGAUGCUCGGCUUCAGUGCUUCAAGUCACCAAUGUUGCUGCCUUCAUGGAGAAGUCCUUCAAGGCUUGGCAAGGGAGGAUGAACUCAGCAAAGGUGGAGAAGAGGAGGCUCGGCUGCUGCUAGGGUUUUCUCUGGUUUCUACGUGAAUGAACGACGACCCUUUUUUCUGAUAUAAAAACCUCCUUUUAUAGUGGUCAUGUCGACCUAGGGUUUUGCUCCACACCAUUGAUUAAAAAUCCGAUCCAAGGGCCACAAAUAAUAGCACAAUAUUUUCAGAGAAUAUUCCUUAGAAUUCUCUAGAAUAUCUUGCACAUUAAGAGUUUGAAUUCGACUGGAAUUGUGGCUGAAUACAUUGCUUGUUUUCCAAAUUGAAUUCGGCUUGAAUCUCUCCUUGUUAAUUGCUGAUUUGCUGCUGAUAAUUCUUCCCAUAUUUGUGUCAUUUAAUGUCCCUAGAAAAGGAAUAUAAAUCAGAUAUAAACUCUAGGAAUAUUAGGAAUUUAUAUGGAGAAUAAAAGGUAAGAAUUUCCCUUAAUUUCCUUGAUGUUUGCUGCAUUAUCUCCACAUAAAUUCGGCUGGAAACCCUAAAAAGAUGGUGCCAUUCUCCUCCUUUUAUGUGACAGAAUUUCGGCCUAAUCCAUGUAGGAUUUGGUUUCCUUGCUUCAUGUGGAAUCCCUGUCUCAAGAGGAAAGAAAGUUUUCAAAAUAAUUCAGGAAAGUCAAAAUAGGAAAGAUUCAAAGUUAGUAAGUUUCCCCAAUCAAAAUAGGAAAGUUUCCCAAAAUGAAAUAGGAAAGUUUAUCCUUAUCAAAACAGGAAAAUUUCCUAGACGACUUAUCCUUCUUAAUCCGCCGUUUUUAGCUUCCUUUUUCACUUUUCCGCUCUUUUACCUUUACAAUCACAAAACAUGUUUAAAAUGACAAUAUUAAGAGAAUAACAUAACUAAAUAAGGUAGGAAAUACGUUAACAUCGUAGCACUUUGUGCUCCUAUCACUUAGUCUGAUUAAGUGAUAGAAGAAAAGUUGGAAAAGAGAUUAUAGAAUACUCAAAAAAAUCAGGUAAGAGAAAGAAAGAGAGAUGAAUAUGUUUGAUUUGAUAAAAAGCAAAUGUUGUCCAAUAAGAAGCGGUGUCAUGUAAUUGUUGCAGGAAUUGGGCAUACUGUUUUUCUGAGAUAUCUCGGAUAUUUUCAAACCUUUCCAGUUACUACAUAUCUAUCAUUUGCCACAAUAGUAUUUAACAAUGCCUAGUGGAUCAAUCUAGCAAAAUUUACAUUUCCUUGAAAUUGUCUCAAUUACCUACUGUAUCACUCAAAACAGAAGAGUAUAGGAAAGCAAACAGUCCAAAAGAUACCAAUGCACAUCUAGCUCACAUAUGUGGCAAAAAAAAGGAGUAAUUAAAAAGACACCAUGUAUUAGCAAAAAAAUUUCAUCAUGAAUAAAUAUGGGAAACAAAAGAACAUGUAGGUUCAACAUCUAGAGUAAACAUUUAGGAUCAUUAACUUCCAACAUUAAAAUUUAGAGUGCAAAACAGUUAUGCAACUACCUUCUUGUUCCUUGACGAAACUAACAAUAACAGGCUGAUUAGUUGCAUAUUGCAUGUUUAAUGCCCAAGAGGAGUUGCUACUUUUCAUCCCUGGUCACGAAAAGUUCAUACCAUUAAACAAGGUGUUUAUGCAAAUCAUAAAACUUUAAAUUUCAACACAGAAAAGAAUGACAAUUUAUAUAUAUAUAACACUUGAGAUAAUUAAGUUUACCAUAAAAUGUGACUACACUCAUAUGUUUGUGAGAUACCAAUGCACACUUGAGAUGAUUAAGUUUACCAUAAAACGGAGUUCAUGAUGUAUGGGAAAAGAUGAAAGCAAAUAGACUGAACUGCCAGCUUUUCUGAAAAUUUGCAGCAGCAUAUACUUGGUUAAAACUGUCACCAAUGAUUCAUUUCAUGUCUGAAUGACAUGAAAUCAGACUUGACAUAAUCUCUUGGAAGUCUAUUGUCAAAUGGAUCAGGUUAAGAUCAAAAACAAGCAAUACUAGGCAAUAUUUUUCCCAAUUUGUCUACAAGGGUCGGAUUCAACUAUCGUGAACUUUAACAAAGAACUUAGAAAGCAAAUAAGGUUCUAUACCACACCCCACAAAUGAAACAGCAAUAUGAUUAAUGGGAGUGCAGAUGGUAUUGAAAUUCAAACUCUCAACAAGUACGAAAACAAUGGGAAUGAAUAAAAGAAUUUCAAUCAAAUCGGUUUGACUUACCAUUUGUCACUCUUGCGAUUGCAGACUCAUAGAUAGAGGAAGUCUCCAAGAAACAAACUCAAUGAUGACCCAUGACAUAGAGAAAAUGAACUUAAAGAGAAAAGAGACAUAGAACUCGAAUUAGAAUCAGAAGUGGAACUAUAUGUCAAAAGAGGAUUUUCCCUGAACAGUAUGCGAUAUUACCUCUGUUGAGGACAAUCUAACCGUUUUAGCACAAGAUAGUAGUCUCAGUUUCGAGAAACUUUCAUGAAGAAACCGUUCUAAUAUAAGGCCUCCAACAUGCACUUUCCAGCCAUAGAAGCUAACAGACUGGACGAAAUUCUGGAAAAGCAGAACUUCCAUUUUUUGAAGAUAAACUUCAAUUGGACGUAUUUCCACAACAAGAUCAUAACAAACAAUCAAUCAAUCAAGAGGAUAACCCAUCUGCUCAAUCACAUAGAGACCCAAGAAAGGAUGAAGAUGGUUACCUCGAUCAAUCUAAAACUUGAAUAGAGACGAUGGUAAGGAUUCACCAAAGAGCUGUGGUUAGAGGUGUCCAUUCUCCAUAACAACCGGUAGAAUUCAAAGCGGUGCUCCUUCACUCUCUGCCUCAUUUCCUCCGGCAAAAGGGCCAAGAGCCGGCCAAAAGCCGGCCAAGUUCCACCUCGAAAUCCUCCUCCGGAUUCUGAUUUGCCAAAUCGCGUCGGAUUUGGAAUUGCUGAAAUAGAAGGUAGGAGGAGGAAGAGUGAAGAGAGGGGAUUCGGCUGGUGGUCGUCGUUCGUUCUGUCGAUGACCGCUCCAUGGUGGCGGACUGGCAGCUGGGCGGAGCUGCAACUCAGUCUCAGACCUCUCUUCUCUCUCGACAAAAUGAAGGGAAGAGAUAGGGUUUUUCCAUCUUAUACUCUAGGCCUAGAUUGAAAGUUGGGUUAAGAUACAGAUCAACGGCCGAGAUUAAAAAUGAUGAUUUUAAAGUUUGCCACGGCCUCUUUCCCCCCGUCGCAAAUUUACCUUUUUUAGCCACGGCUCCACAUUGCCGUCGCAAAACUUAAUUUUUUUUGCCACGGCAUAAAGUUGCCGUCGCAAAAUAAUUUUAAUUUAGCUACGGAAACUUUGCCGUCGCAGCGCCGUCGCAAAAACUGGACCAAUGGCGACGGCAAAUCUGGGCCGUGGCAAUUUGGGGUGGCUAACUGAAUUCUUUUUUGUAGUGACAAUUACGCAAGAUACCCUAGAGAUUUCCUUGGAGAUUUACUUCAGGAUUUUGUGCAAUUAAUUGAGACCGUUGGAUCAAGAUUUAAUCAACGGAUAGGAGGACUUCAUGGAUGCGCAUUCACCUCUACAUAAAGGCACCAAAGGGCAACGUUUUUGGCAUCUAUUCUUUCACACAAAAAAUAGUAAACAACGCUCCUUUUCUCUCUUCCCUUGCCGUGAGUCUCCAAGCCAAGAAGCAAGAAGCCAAUUCUUUUUAGGACGUUCCAAAAAGUUCUGAAGUUCUCUAGGCGUUGCUUCCACUCCACCGUCUCGAAAGACCUUUGUAGAACCAAUAAAAGUGUAAACAAUGUCUAUUUCUGCUUUCUUUGUUUUGGUCUUGGUUUUGGAUUGAAGUUAUGAAUUUCGUCUUUAAAAUUGGAUGGAUGUUUUGGAUCUGAAAUUGAGAAAUUUUAGAAUAAUUCAAGCAUGUUUCGACUUGUCUAUGAUACAUGUGAUCUGUUUUGUUGCCAUGUUGAUUCAUUAAAUACAUAGUUGUGUUUGAACUAAAACUCUAAUUCUGCAUGUUAGUGUUGCUAGGUUUUGGAACUAAUUCACCUAAUAGUCUUAGGCGGAAAUCUAAAUAGUGGAGGUUGUGUUAUAAUGGCCAAGACUAUGUACGUGUUACAUGUUUACAGAUUAAGCAGCGAUUGGUAAACUUGGGCAUGUUCAAACUCAUAAUUCUAUAGCUCUUAAUGAUUCAUGUUUAGAUAGACGGGUACGCUGAGUAUCGAUUGCAACAUUUGCAUGAAAUAUCCUACUUCUAAACGUUUUGUGGUUGGGAGAUAAAGUUAGUAGAAUUAAUGGGAUGCAUGACCUCGUAGGUUUGCAUUUCGAAUUUGUUUUUAGUAUCACUUGGCAAUGAAAUCGGUUGUGUGUUUGAGGAAUGUUGAUACUUGUUUGAAUGAUUAUGAAAUUGUUGGUUGAUGUGUGUAGAAGAUGAUCACUUGUAUAUAUUUAUUUUAUGUUUUGUUUUACUCACUUAGAACAAACAAACACCCCCCCCCAACCUUUUGUAUCACGUGUACAUUUGUAAAUAAAUACUUGUGAAUAUAUGUAUAUUGUUAAUUAUUAUCUCUUGCACAGUUGUGGUUUCCUUGAUAUGUUUUGAUCUGAAAUGUGUUAGAAUGUCGCAUCCUCGAUGCAUAGAGUUCAAACUCAUUCUUCAGCUUCAUAUAUAACCCUAACUCUACUUCACUUUUGUCGUAAAGUGGUUUCCAACCCUUCUGGAUUGCCCUCUUUGUUAUAGCUGCUCUAAGUAUAUGAGGGGUUGCAAACAACAUACCCUUACAAAAACCAAGAGUUCUCCAUGUCCACUUUGGGGUUAAACUCUAGAUAUUUCACUUCAUCCUCUUCAGAAUUGUAUUCUUCUCCUAUUGCUAGCUUCUUCAUCAGAAUCCACAGCCCUAAACAUAACUUCAUCAUCUUCAUCGCCCUUAGUUCCUUCCUCAGUAGCAUUGUUGUAGCUUCUGGCCCCUUCUCAUUGCCAUUAACUUUGGUUAACCAAUCAAAUAGGUAAUGACCAUCAAUCUCAUACUGUAUGACACCAUCAUCAUUCUCAAUAGGGUCAUAAUCUUCAUCAUUACUCUCAUCAUCUUAAUCAUCAUUGCCCUUCUCAUAUGAACCAUCUUUACUAACUUCGGUUAACCAACCAUCUUCAAACUCAUCAGCCUCAUACACAUCUUCAAAGUCAUUACCUCCUCUCCCACCAGAUUCUCCAAACUCCUCAUCCUCACUGUCAAUAUCACUAGUUUGCUCUUCCGCUAUCCAUCUCCAUUUUUCUCUUACCCUUACUCUUAUCCAUCACCACAGGUGCUCUCCUAACUUGAGUUGGCACUUCAUCUCGGGCUUAAAAAUCUUCACACCAAGAAGUGACGCGCUUGUUAGCGGGCGUUCAAUUAAAAACCCUGCAUAUGUAGUAUAGAGUAAGCUAGGUAUCAUUCUAGCUGGGAACUAAGGGUACUCUUGUGAACAAUGGUUAUGUAAAAAGCUAGUAACUAUAAAGAUAAAUAUUCACAUGUAUUUAUUUACAAAUAUAGACGUGAUACACAAGAUAAAUGGUUUAAAGGUUUGUUCUAAAUUCUUAAUAAAGAGAAAAAAACAUGAUAAACAAAUAUACAAGUGGAUCAAAUCAUUCAACACUUCAACCAGAGAGAAAUUUGAACCCUAACCACAUAAUAAGCUUCCAGACCUAAAUCAAAACCCCAAACUCAUUAUUCAAACCCUAAACUCCAAAUCCCCAUAUCAGAAGCUUUCCAAACCCCCAAAAAUCGAAACCCUAAACAACUCACACAGUAAACCCUAAAAUCAAAACCCCAAAUAGUCCAAGCCAAAAAACCUGAAAUUCACAACCAAUAACCUUUGCACAGAGUCGAAACAUAAGCCUCGAUGUUCAUAUUAAAAUUAAUUACUCACCAAAUUUGGGGAUUUUUUCGGCUUGCUAAAAAAAAUCCUUGUUCAUCAUUUGUUAAUCUUGGUAUCUACUCAUCGGGCUUAGCCAUCUCUUCUACUAAGGGUAUUCAAUCUCGUUCAAUAUGGGUUUUAGGUGUUAUUCAGUCUGAGUGUUUUGUGGGUCUGGGAACACAGAGAGAGAGAGAGAGAGAGAGAGAGAGAGAGAGAGAGAGAGAGAGAGAGAGAGAGAGAGAGAGAGAGAGAGAGAGUAGUUAGUUAGUUAGUUNNNNNNNNNNNNNNNNNNNNUUUUUUUUUUUUUUUUUCUUCUGGAUUUGGGUUUUGUGAUUUGGAAUUUGUAUUGGAGUAAGAAAUCGAAAACGGUAACAAGGGCCAAUUUGGGCUUUUCGUCAAAAUUAGGGUUAGAGACCGAAAUGUGAGUCAUAUCCCUCGCUACUGGAAAUUAGCUCUUAGGUGAUAGGAUUUUAUUUUCCAUCGGCUAAGAUAUACUGGCGACCAAAAUAUUGUACUUCGUCAUCUAGGGAAAAAAAUGCGUCACCUAAGACUAAAAGAUAGCUUCUAAACAGUUCGUCAGCUAAGAAUAUCUUAGGCGAUGAAAUGUUUUCUGUCACCUAUCAUUCGUUACCUAAGACGACGGACGUGGACGUCCCAACUAUGUUCGUCGCCUAUGAUAUUCUUAUCCUACUAAAAAGAUUACGUUGCCUGAAACAGUCUUAGGCAACGGAUCGAUACUCUUAGAUGACGACAUCUUCCGUCGCCUAGGUGAAAAAGUGAUUUGUUCUCUCACACAACACGUGACAUAUAUUUAAACCUAUUCGUCGCCCAUAUUAGAAGAAAAUUUUAAUCCUUUUAGGAGAAAAAAAUUUAUGUACACAAAGUUUCCUCCAAUUCUAGGUUUCGGGUGUAUUUUUCCAAGUUUGAUCGGUCUUCAAGCUUCUCUCAUUGGUAUGUAGCUUGUUAAACUCUCUUUCUCACUCUUUUUCCCAUGUAUUCCAUGUUAUCUAACGAACUUUCGGUCAUUUUUUCUCUGUAUUACUUGUUAGGAUAUUAUGAUGAUAUAGCUAGCUUGUGCAUGUGAUUAUAUGUUGAAUUGUUCAAUUUUAUAGAAAUCAUUUACGCAUUAAAAUGAUAUUGUGGUGGUGAAUCAUGUAAGAUGAUAAUAUUCUUUGAUUCACCAAUGGUUAGCCUUAGAAAUACCGUUCGAGAACCAUUUUGUCACAACUAUGUCUAACAAAAUGUCACAACUAUGUCUGACAAAAUGAUUCUCGAAUUGUCCCAUUUUUAAACAGUUUGAGAGCACAAGACAUUGAAAUUCAAUUUUAUUUAUCUAAUGAUUCAGUUUAUUUUUGGACAUCAUUAUUUUCCCUCAAUUUUAAUUAUCAAAAAUUUUACAAAAUAUUUUUAAAAAAAUAUUUCGUGUAAUAGAAACGGUCGGCUGCAAACACGAGAAUCCGCAACGAGAAAAGGAUGCACCACCACACAGAUUUUUUCCCCUAUCAUCAAAUUGAUGGAGGAGCUGAGAGUACAAGGCGAGCCGUUUGAGAUCUUCAAAGGAUUCGAGAAAACCUAUGUGAGGCCCGAUGACGAAGUGGCCACAACACAUUACGUAAGUAUUUUAUCUCUAACUAUUUGUUGAAUAAUAAUUAUUACGUCGGUCUAAUUAAUUAUUAUUUGUUUAAUUAAUAUUGUUUUUUAAAUAUAGAAUGACAUGAUGAAGGAGGUCGAAAUUAGGAAGGAUGCUUAUAGAGAAGCACUCCAAGACGGGAUGGAGGAGCAAAUCAACGAAAGUGUUCGGUCACAACAGAUCGAGGUGUUGGAUACGGUGCUCCAACCUCGGAAAAGAAAGGACAUCAAAGGGAUGGGACGAGCAGACGAGCGAGACUUGAGCCAGUCAUCAACGUCUUCAACCUCACGUACUCGUGCUCUUACACUUGAUGAGCAGGUCUAAGAGGUCACAGACCGUUAUGAGCAGCAACUCCAACAGGUCUCGGAGGGUGCCGAGCGAGCAAUGGAGACGGUGCAACAACAAAUUGUCUUAAUCUUUGAGAAGCACAAUCUGCAACCUCCUCCUCAAUGUCAAGUGUCGCAACAUCCUUCACACGACGACGACGAUGACGGAAGCGAUUAACAACAACUUCGACACCUCUCAGUUUUUAGUGACUUAGGAUUUCGUACUUUUGUUUUCGUUGAAUUAGUUUGUAUGAAAAAUUUUCUAGUUAUAACUUAUAAAUGAAUAAUGUUUAUAUUUAUUAUUGGUUGAUGUUAUUGACACAUCCAUAUUUUUUAUUAACACACCUCAUAUGUUUCCGUAUCCAUACAUUUUAAUUUUAUUUACAAACUUGUCACUUGAAUUUGUUUAAUGAUCAACUCUCAUCAUAGAUGAGAUGUGUUAAUAAGAAAAAUGGGUGAUCUAAUAACAUCCACCUUUUUUAUUUGGUCAUAAAUGUUAUUAAAUUAUUAUUUCUGAAUUUUAAAAUAAAAUAAUGGUGAAAUAAUAAAAAUAAAUGAAUUUCAAAAAAAUCAGAGAUCAAGGCGAUGGAAAUAGGAAGUUCGUCGCCUAGGACUUAAUUCAUAGGUGACGGACCUAACAAUAGUUUGUCACCUAGGAAUUAAGUCCUAGGUGAUGGACCUGCUAAAAUGUCGUCGCCUCUAGGCGACAAAAGUCAAGUUUUUGUCGUCUAACACUACCAGGACAAGCACUUUAGCCGAUGAAAAAGUUUCGUCGGCCUGUUAGCUUAAUUCGUCGGCUAAGAUCUUAGCCGCCGAGCCUUCGUCGGCUAUGGUUUCGUCGGGAAAGAGUCGUCGGCGAUGACUUUAGCCGACGACACUAGAAAACGUUAUCGACUAUUGUCCCAGAAUUUAGCCGAUGAAUAUUUUAAAUGUUUCGUCGACCAUAGUCUGAGAAUUUAGCCGACGAAACGUUUAAGAUAUUCGUCGGCUAAAGUAUGUAAUAAAAAAUUAAAAAAUAACAUAAUUCGUCGGCUAAACCUUAUAAAAAAAAUUAAAAAUACUAUAGCCGACGAAUAUCUUACAUGUUUCGUCGGCUAUAAGUCCAUUCCAGUAAAAAAAAAACCUGAAAUUUCUAAAUUACCAUUCCAAGCAACCUACAAAAUACACCAAAACAAUUCCAUAUAACCAACAACAAGCACAUAAAACUAUAUAAUUGAUCAACUACACAAAAUUGAAAUUGUUUCCUACUAAAGUUAGCAACUUUCUGAACAAAACCACCCUAAUCACACAAAAUCAUCUCAAUUUUGAAAGAAAAAAAAAAUAGCCAAAAACUAAACCCUAUAUGCACUAAAUUAUCUCAAAAAUACAAAUUAAUAUAUUCAAACAUAAAAGGGGAUAAGUAAAACCCUAGAAAUUGAGAAACCUAGAAAAGCGCUUUUUGUGAGAAACGGAUUCUGGAUGAGGAUCUGCCUCGCUUGCUGCUGGUUUUGUUCUAUCAGACUCUGUGUUUCACAAAACGAAGCAAUUGAAACACCAACAUUACUCCAAUUGGGAAUUUUCAAUUUCGUGAAGCAAGAUUAAGUAAUAGAAGUAAAUUCGAGAGAGGGUUAUAUACCUUCAUUUGAGACAUGAUUUCGUAAAGCUGGUUCUUCGACAUUCCCGCUGUAUUCGCCGGUAGGCCGUCGUCGGAGGUUUGAGGGUUGGUAGAGGUUCCCUCAAACGAUUCGGACUUUUGACCCUUCGAACCCUUCGUCGAUCUAAAAUUAUUAUGACAUAGAUUCAAACCAUCAUUUGUCACGUAAAAGCUGAUAGGAUAUAAUCCAAUGUCAAAUAGACCAAGCCAAGAAAAGCAUGAACAUCCAUAGUCAAAACAACCAAGGAAAUGUACUUUUUGUUAUUUCCAAUGGCAUUGCAUAUCCAUUGCAAUUAUAUAUCACACACGUAUCCUUCUCUACUCCUCAUGAAAGGGAUAUGUAGUCAAAAGAAACAGCCAGCAAAAACUGGUGACAUUAUCACAAUCCUGUUUAAAAUAUUAAUUUGAAUCAAGGCUGAGGAAAAGAAAAGAGUUACCUUUUGAUGGGUGGAAGUGAAAACGAAGAUGAGGAAGAUAGUGAGGACGGUGAAGAGGAGGAGGGAUCGGGGCUGGAGCAGAACGGAGAUGGCUCAAGGAGGAGGCUCGAGGACGGCUCGAGGAGGCUGUGGAGGGCUCGAGGAGGCGGUGGUGGGUUUUUUAGGGUUUUUUGGACCACUGUGGAGGCUGUCGAGCGCUGGGUUUAAUUAUAUACCCUAUACCUUUAGCCGACGAAAUAAAAAUUUCGUCGCCUAAACCUGUGAAAUUCGUCGGCUAAAUCUUGAAUCUCGUCGGCUAAAGUAAUGAAAUUUGUCGACUAUAGUAUUUUUUAUUUAAUAUUUUCAAUUUAUUUGUUUUAUUUUAUAUUAUUAACUAUAGCCGAUGAAUUUUCAAUAAUGUCAUCGGCUAUAGUACUUUUUAUACAUUCAGCACAUUGUGAUUGUGAUGAUCAAACUUGAAAAAUGAAAAUCUGACCGUCAGAUCUGACCAUCAUGAUAAAAUACAUGUAUGGGAAAAAAUUCAAGUUGAUCCGACAAGGUUAAGGGCUCGAUCCGGACGGUCAAACCCCAUAACGCAUGGAAAAGGUCAUUGGACCAUCUAAAUUACGUAUUUUGGCCGGACCUUCAACUGAAAAUAGUUUCAAAUCGAUCAGACGCAACAAGUUGUAUAUUAGGGUAUUCGUUGGCUAAGGUUUAGGGUUUAGGGUUUAGCCGACGAAAUAUUAGGGUAUUCGUCGGCUAAACUUUUAUAUAGACGUCGGCUAAAGUUCACAGACUAUAGCCGACCAAAAAAUUUUUUUAGCCGACGAAAUAUUGACCAUAGCCAACGAAAAUUUAAAUUAGCCGACGAAGGAAAAUUUCGUCGGCUAACUUGGACUUUAGCCGACAAAAAAAUAAUUCAUCGGCCUGAUUUUUUUAUUUUCGUCGGCUAAAGACUUUCUUCUGGUAGUGUAAUAAGAUGCUACGCUAGUCCGUCACCUAAGAACAUGUCCGGCGAAUGCAUGUUCAACGCCUAUGGUGUUAGUCGACGGCAAAGUCCGUCUGAGAGAUCAAAAAUCUUUCGUCGGCUAAAAUCUGUCUUAAUCCCGUCAACUAGGAAUCUACCUUUCUGUUUCUAGUUGACGGAACUUAGACGACGGACCUUCUAUCUAUUAGGAUUCUAGUCGACGAAAAAUGGAUCUUAAGUGACGAAUCUUGUCUUCGCCUAGCUAGGACCUAAAUUCUAGUAGUGCAUGUCUCCUCCACAUCAAACGCAAAUGUCAUGGUUUGAGGGAAUUUGAUUUUUUGUCUCAGCAUGAUGGGUUUUAAGAGUAUAAGGGUAUACUUGAUUAGAAUAAAAAAAAUAAAAAUAAAAAAUAGGGGCAUUACAAUUGAUAAGUGACCCAAAGUUUAAAGUAGUACACUGAAUUUAAUUAUUUCAUUAUUGUAAUCUACUUUAUUUGCGGUGCAAAUGAUUUCACAUGGUUUUUAUAUACAUCCGGCUUAUGCAAAGAUUUGAUAGAUCAAUUUGAAGGAGACUGUCCGAACUCCUUAACAUUCAAGAGAUUCAACGUCCAAUGAAUGAUCGAGCUCAAUUGCUCUCUAUGUACGUAGUCUUCGUGGUAUGCUAUCAUAUAUUUUCUUUCUCAACAAAGGUGUUUUAGCUAAUUAGCUAGCUAGCUAGCUAACAGGAUAUAUUUAUAUAUAUAUAGAGGUCGAAUAUGAAGCGGACGUCCGCAACUAUGUUAAAGUGUGGACGCCGGCUCAAAUCAACUCUAGUAGCUGCAUAUGGCAGCUCUUCUUCCUCCUCAGACGCCAUUGGCGUAUUACCAUCAAGUUGAAUGCCAAGGUGAUCGUAGAAGAAGGUCCGGCGCCGGAAAAAUUGCAGAAACUUGAAGAAGCUCAAUCCCGGAUUCAAAACUCAUCACCGACGAGUCUGCCGGCGAGAAGAAGCUCCAAAUGGAACUCUUGUUUGGAACUAGCAAGAACAACGAAGCAAUCAGUGUCGCCGGAGUUGAUUUGAGCCGGGGUCAGCACUUUAACACAGUUACAGACGUCUGCUUCAUAUAUAUAUAUAUAUAUAUAUAUAUAUAUAUAUAUAUAUAGUCAUUAUCUGGAAAGAGUCGUAAAUCACAUAUUGGGGUCAGCUUGUAAAAUCAUUUUGUUUUAUAAUCCAUAUAUAUACAGGAGAAUCGGAGUGAGAGUGAGAGGUAGAGAAAUGAAGAGAGAAACAAGUUGAUCAAAUGCGUACCACCUAAGAGUCAACUAAAUCCGAUUAUGGAAACCGUGAAACUCUCUCACACUCAUCGAUCAGUCACCACCCUAUAGGCCGGUUUAUGGUGUAUCUCUUUGUUUUGAUGAGUAAGUUGUUGAUUAGAUGUUUUAAUUGUCAUUCUGAAGAAGAUAGUGACAAUUCCAUAAAUGGGAAGUGCAUGCUGUAAGGUUUUUAUGUGGAAGUUAAAGCAAAAUGGAAUGGAAUUCCAUCUGUUGGUGGAAUGCCAUUGGUUGGAGUCAGCUCUCUCUCUCUCUCUCUCUCUAUCUCUCUCUCAACCUUAGGGUUUCAUAGAAGGAAGACAUUUAAUUUCUUCUUAUUCUCUUUUUUUCUUUUUCCAUUUCUUGUUCAACUUUUCUUUCUCUUGGCUUUUCCCAAAUGGGUUUUUGAUAAGACAUUUUUUGGGACGUGUUUCUCUUUCUCCAGUAUUGGAAGGUAGGUCAGUUUUUGACUUUGCAAAAUGAUUGACCUAAUGUGAUCGAUAUUGUGACAAACACUAGCUAGCUUACAAUUUGUGGACACGAUCUAAUAAUAGUUCAAAUAAGCCACAUAGCUAGUGGUCUUUGUGAAAAUCAUUAGCGUACGUAUUUGACACGAACUCUUCCAUUUGAUAAUAUGUAAUUAAGAAAGUAAAGAAAAUCAUGGUUCUCAAAUGAAAGAUUAUUAACGCAUUUGAGAAGAAGACAGUUAAGUAGCUAGCAUAUUACAAGUCUUAUUAAUAUCAAGUAAUGCUAAUGGCCCCUGUAUAAUAAAGCGAGCGCAUUCUGGAAAGAGGGGGACAAAAACGGUCCUCAAUUAGUGACUUGAAUCAUGGAUCGUGCAAGGGCCAUCCAUCUAAAUGAAUCAUAUGGAGGAGAGGAGGCCAGGCUCAUAAUAAAACGAUGAUAACGCAAGGUAGAAUUACUCGAAACUCAGAAUCAAUAUUGUCUUUUCUCUCAUCUCUUACUUGUACACAACUCGACUUAGAUGAACUAAAAGAAAAUUACAUGUAUCGAAUUUUUUUUUAAAAAAAAAUUCGUGAAUCGAACUCUCAACCUCCCAUUUAUUAAGAGGAGACUACACCGCUAGACCAAAUAGUUUUGUGCUUCAUGUAUUGAUCAUGAAUUUCCACAAACUCUUUCUAUCAUAAAAUUAACUCUAACAAUUUUUUUUAAUAAAUCAAUAAACAAAUUGAUCUAUGUAACCAUAGUGCAAGUUAGCAAGUAACUUGCCCUUUGUAUCAUGAUCUCAUGGGUUUGGGGCGUGGUGGUGGAGGAUGUGCUCUUUGGUUCUUUGCCAGCGACAAUGGUUAGACGACGGUUGGUGCUCGAGAGCGACGACAGAUGGAAGAAGCAACAGUCAGGUGGUGUCUAUGCGCUCACUAGGGCUAGGAUCAAGAUUUGGGUCUAAUGAGUUUCUUUAUGAUGAUGGGCUUGCUCUGUGACAUGGUAGCUUGGGCUUGGUCGCUAAGGUCUUGUUUAUUUAAUUUUAUGUUUUUUUUUUUUUGUCGUGUCUUCUCUUUGAGCGAGGGUUUAGGGUUUUGAUAAGUUGGUUUCGUUGGUUUUGUCAUUAGGUAUACCAUGGUUAUGGUAUCAUUUCAAGAGACUAUUUUUAAGUCGAUUAUUUCUUGUGAUAAAAGUAAUGAGGAGGUUGCAUGUACACAUAUGCCGGCUGUUUUGGCAUAUAAUGUCUGAAAGGUUUGUUUCUUCUUGAGAUUGACCAGUGAUGGAAGCAGGAUUUUUUUAAGUGGGCCGGGGGCAAAUUUCAUUGCAAUAGUUCAAUACAAACUAUAUGGGGGCCAAUUAGUUCAAAUUCCUCAUAAUAUGUACUUAAGUUGCUUUAUUUGGCCAUUAGUUUUUCAAGAAAUGAUAAUCAAGUGGGGGCAAUAACCCCUAAAAGCUUGUAUAUGCGUCCGCCUAUGAUUGUAACGAUGUAUUGAGGCUUCUGGAAUAUGUUAUAUAGAUUACGGUUGAACCCGUUUCGAUUGGUGUCCAUUGUAAUAGCUGGAGUUUAGGUAGGGGGCGAGUGGAGAAUUUAUGUCCCCACUAAUAUCUCUUAUGGUUUGUAACUUUAGUUCAUAUAGUUCAUAUAUAUUACAUAAAGUAUUACCUUUUAACAAAAAUAAAAUAAAAUAAAAUAAAAAAAUAAUAAUAAAUCAAUAAACAAAUCGUUCUAUGUCAUGGUAGUCAGCAAGUGAUACAAUACAUAUACAAAAAUUCUAAUACGCAACAAGAUGCAAGUGAACCAAUUAAGUAAUUAAUAUGUAAUUUAUGCAUUUUAUUUGAUCCAGCCUCCCACGUACGUGACACUACAAUGUAUAUAUGUGAACAUUGUUAACAUAACUAAAACUCAAAAACUAGUCCAAGUGUCACUACUGGAAAAAAACACUUAGGAGACGGAAUUGAUUUGUCUCCUAAGUACCAAAAUUGGUCUCCUAAGUACUUAAGAGAUGGAAUAGCCGUCGGCUAAGAUCCGUCGCCUAAGAGUCGUCAAGUAGAAAAGGAGUCAACUAAAAAUUUAGUUUCAUCUACUAAGAGCUAUUUAGGCGACAAAAUGAGUUAUGUCUCCUAAGUUCUUAGGCGACGGAAUAAUGUCCAUCUCUUAAGUUCUUUGGAGACGGAUUUAAAAUAGUUUUAAAAAAAUUAAUUAAAUUAAUUAAAUUUUAUUUCUAUUAUUUUUUUUUAUUUCAGUUUCUUUUUAUUUCUUUGCCUUUCAAUUUUUUUUUUAUUGUCUGAAACCAACCACCCAUUCCACCACCGCCCAAAAUCUCACACCCUUGCCAAUACCGCUACAACCUUCGGCAAACAUCGCUGUCACCUCUAGUUUUUCUAAACCACCCACCGCUACAACCAAGAAGCAAAACCCAGAGCUCCAUCAUACCUUAAUCCAUCAAAUCCAAUCCCGAAAUACAAAUUUCAGUCACCCAAUUUCAAUCACUGUUUAUACAUAUUAUGAGAGGAUGGUGAAGAGAUUGUGAGCGAUGUUGAGUGGUAGUGGAGGAGAGAUCGAAGUCGUUGUCGGUCUGGGCUAGGGAGUAAGGGAGGUCGGCCUUGGAGAAGUGAAUGCUGGUCUAGGCUAGUGGUCUAGAUCUGAAAAAAAAAUGAGUGGGAGAGAAAGAUGGGGAUAAAGAUGGAGAGGUAAGAGCAGACUGAGGGGAAGAUAAAAGAUAAAGAGUGUGAGAAGGAGGAGUAGAAGAAAGAGAGAGUUUAUGAGUUUAAAUAAAUUGGGAACCAAAUUUUCAAAAAAUUUCGUUUGAAAUUUUCUCAAAUUCUCGGCGGAAGAUUUGACGGCCCAAGUUUUUUUAACUUAUAAGUGAUUCAAAUUCAUUACAAAAAAAUUCCGUCUCCUAAGUAAAACAUUUUAUCUUCUAACAUUUCGCCUAAGUUGUUAAUAUUUUUAUUUUUUAUUUUUCAAAAAGUUAUUCCGUCUCCUAAGUAAAUGGUUUCGUCUCUUAAGUAGCACUUAGGAGAGUAAAUGCUUUUCCGUCGUCUAAGUGGUCACUUAGGCUACGGAACGAGCACUUAGGAGAUGGAAUUAAAACCAUUCAAUCUCCUAGGUACUUUUUUCCAGUAUUGUGUUUUAAACACAGGAAGUGAAGACCCGAAGUCGAAGACGAGAUCCUCUUAUUAUGAGCUUUUAAUAAUUGAGGGUUUACAGUUUUCAUUUUAUCUUUGCAUCUUGAAUCGGGUGACUUGCACAUUGGUGGUGCAAGUGUAUCUUGAUGUAUGAAAUCCGCUCCCAGACAUAUAAGUGACAUGAUUACAUGGAGCUAGCCUUUUUUAUAAUAACAAAAAACAAAUGCAUAUGAAAGGUUAUACAUUUGAUGUUGUCCGGUAGUCCAUUCAUAUUAAGUGUGUCGGUACUCUAAUUUUUUUCGUUAUGAAAGUAUUAUCUAACUUAUUAAUAAAAAUAUGUUAAGUUAAGUUGUUGUGUUUCAAUUACUCUAAUCUUUGAGAUUCCGUAAUUGUAAUUUACACGAACAUGUCUGUUUAGACAGAUUUUUUUCAGUUGAUUUAUUUAAUCUAAUUCGGUACCCAUACCAAAUGAUCUUCAAAUUAAAUAAAACUUUACAGAAAUGAUCAGCACACUAUGUUCUAAACAGUAAAGAUGUAAAAAUGUGAUCNNN
rnacentral:lncRNA from 1 species